GACGCAUGAGAUAACAAGAUAUUAUGCGUUGCCAAGUAUGGUUCUGUUGAGGAGUUACCCCUAGAGCAGUUGAGACCAAAUGGAAUUGAACAUCGUUGUGGUGGAGAAAAUCCAGAAUCAUAACCCCCAAGUACAAAAACAUUAGGUUCAUUCAUAGUAGUCCAAUGCAAAACUCUAUCCCCGAAAUUUUUGAAGCACACAUCUGCAUACGCAGUGAAGUCUUUUCUGCAACCACAAAAUUGUUCCAUCAUGAUCUUUCCCCUUUUUCUCCUGAUGCAUUGAAAUUACGCAAAAUAACAAAAAUAGGGUUAAGAAACCAUACACAAUCUUUCGGCUAACCCAUCCUCCAUACUCAUCAUCAAGUGCCUGUGGGAGAUCACUAUGGUGUAAAGUAACAUGUGGUUGGAUUCCUGCUUGAAAAAUAAAGCAAUCAGACAUCAAAUUACAGAAUUGUUAGAUUGGUGGAAGUGGUACAUGUUUCUUAAGGCAUGUUUACUUUAUUAGGAAUGGGUAUUGGAAUUACUCAAUUCAUGUCUUCCCCCGCGUUUACUAACAUAAAAAGCAAUCCAAAAUUAUAUGGGUUGCAUGCUAAACUCGCGAAUAUCCUCAAAAAUAGUAAUUGGAUAAGCUACCUAGUUGAUCUGAUUCCAAUUCCUUAAUUUAGUUCCACGAUUCAUGACUUCCUCCAUUCCCAAGUAAACAUGCCCUAAGAGUAUAACCACUCCACAAAUUCGAAGGAAAAUAUACAAUGUAGUAUCAUAAGAUAGUAACCAUGGCUGAUUAGUUGAUCAAUAAGAUUGUUGUAAUAUUGUAGACCCUUUGGAUUGACAGGUCCUUUUCCAUCUGAAAUAAAGAAAUUGGAUAUUUGAGUGCGUGAAAACUUAAGCGUUGUUUGUUUAAUAUGAGUAACAAUUGGAUGCUCAUGCAUACUUGGGAUAAGUCUUGACCAUGAGAUGGAAAAUCUAUAUGCCUCUAAUCCAGUAUCUGCCAUUAGUUGAACAUCUUCCUGCAACAGUUUGAAUGAACAUGAUAUGAUGUAUGAACAUCAAAUAGCAUCAACAUGUUCCUAAUUAGUUAUUUAGGCAAUAAAUCGUGUGAUUACGUAAUUGUACGGAACAUAUGGUAUGUUAUAUUGCCUCCCAAAAGCUAUAAAAACCUCUUGAAUACUAGCUAGUCUUGAUAUAGUAUGAAUCUCGUGAUUGCAUAAUUGUAACAUACAUGUGAAUAACUACUAGUCCUGAAACCUCUGAACUAAAAGAAAAGAUUAUUAGCAAUAACUAGAUUGAAUUUUACAAAAUAUAUACCUUAUACUUGUGAUACGCGUCACACGCUACAUCUCCAGUGGCUCCAUGAAAAUGACCUGAAAGAUUGAGUUAAGCAAUGACCUAACAGGGAUCAUAUACACGCAAGUUAUCAUGUUAGUUUGAAAAAUCCACUUUAUCUAAAUGUUUGAUUAGUCGAUUAUAUUAUUAAUAUGGAUUAAUUUUAUUUAAUCCACUUUAUCUAAAUAUUCUAAUUUUCUAGUCAAUAUAUUUUGGUAGGACUUGUAUGUAACCACCUAGAAUAGGAAUGGAACAAGGUACCAAAAUAACCCACAUUGAAAACACUAGAAAGGGUACUGGGAGGAAACCAGUACUUAUAAGCUCACACUACUAAUUAACAAUUAGAAGUGGUUGGACAUCUCAAAUUUUUUCAGAUGAAGUCUGCAGAGGAUGGAUCUUCUUUAUUCUUGGAAUAGUUAUGUACUAGAGAAUCACAAAGAAAAACAUGUUUGUUUCGCUAAUUGUGAGGGCAAAAGAUUUUGAUUUCCCUCUAUAUUGUUGUCAAAAAGAUUUCAGCCUUAGUUGUCCUUCGCCAGUGAGAGCAGACCUUUUUUUAUUCUCCUCAGUACAAGCGAUAAUCUAGACUACAGGAGGAGGAGGAUUUCUCAUACACACAACCAAGAUGCCAUGAAGAUUCAAACAUAAGACCACUAGGCUGCCACUCAAGGUCCUUUUUCAGAUAAACGAUAAGGAUACCGGCAUAAUACAUACCCAACAACCUCCAAUGCGUAAGUUAGGUACGUAUUGGGUGUGUAAAGGUAAUUUCACAGACUAGAUUUAGGGUCCGUCUCUGCAUGUCACUUUGUGGAUAAGGAGGAAAAUAUUGUUAAAAAAACAAAAAAAACAAAAAAAACCAAUAACUAAUUAAGUAACCAUAACUUUACUCUAGAGUAUGUGAUAAAACCGUAAUUUACAAUAAUAAUAUGACACGACACUGUCACAGUCCUGAUCUCUUGGACUACAAGGGUCCAUGAGAUGUGUGGUCACUCACCAUUGGAUGUAAAUUCAACGGUUCACUCACUCUUGUAUUCCUUUUAAAAAACUUUUUUGAACCAUUGGAUUAACAUCCAACGGUGAGUGACCACAAUCUCUUGGACUCCUGUGGUCCAAGAGAUCGGGACUGGACACUGUCAUGUAUUUUUUUUAUUAAUUACAUAGUUUGUCUCAAAAAAAAGAAAAAAAAAACUAACAACAAAAACGAAUUGGGUUAACAGUCCUGAUCUCUUGGACUACAGGGGUCUAAGAGAUUUGUGGUCACUUACCGUUGGAUGUAAAUUCAACGGUUCACUCACUCUAGCACUCCUUUUAAGAAACUUUUUUGAACCAUUGGAUUAAUAUCCAACAGUGGGUGACCACAAUCUCUUAGACUCAUGUGGUCCAAGAGAUCGGUACUGUGUGUGCCAAUAGAAUAUGUGAAUUACUAUUUUGUACCUGAUCACUUGUGUUUAUGAAUUACUUUUUCUUCAUACGGUUUUGUAUCCAAUAUCUAACGGUGGGUGAACACAAUUUCUUGGACUCCUGUGGUCCAAGAGAUUGGGACUGCCAAGUCAAUAUCUAGGCAAAUCUCCACUAAUUUAUUCAUGAAGAGGUUAAAUUUUUUUAAUAAAAAUAAAAACUAAAAAAAAAAUUCAAAAUAAAAGCAUAAAACCCAAUAUUGCUACAAUCUAACCUGACCUCGCCAACCAACUAACAAAAAUGAAAAAAGAGCGAAAAAAAGAAGAAGAAGGAAAAUGUGAUAAGAAAGUAGUGGGAAGCUAACCAGCUUGCGCAUAUGUGUCCAAGAUGCUCGGGGUCCUGCCAUCUUCGCCUGCAGCACCUUCCACCUUUUGUCAUGUAGAUUUUUUAAUCAACCCAGGUAAUAAUACAAAUGAAAAGAAAUUAGAGAGAGAAAAAGAAAAAUGAAAAGAAAUUGAGAACCUGAUAAGCAGAGGAGGAAGCACCAAACACAAAGGCCGGCGCCAGUGGGAAGUCAUCUCUGCAAAAGUUAUCAGUGCUUGAAGAAACGCUUUUUAUAGUAAGAAGAAAACACAGCAGAAGUGAAACUCUCAACAUUAAUUAUGGAAAAGACGAAAGCACAGCAAGAGUUUGGAGAUUCUGGUUUCUGAACUUAUAAAAAGCAAAACUUUUGAAUGAGAUUUGAGUGGUUACCCUUUAGUUAUCCUUACUUUAGCUUACCCUAAAGCUCCACGUUGAUAAAGCUAGAAGACUCCAAAUUACUUUAGAAAGGUGUUGUGUGUUGAAUUGAAGACUUUUCAUUUGUCGAGUGCGGAAACUUGUCAAAACGGCCGAAAACUGUUGUCAAAUUAAUUGAUAAAGGUUGUGCGAAGCCCCACUGCCAUGACUGGCUUGAAGUCAAAAGCCUUUGCUUUCUCCCAGUGGCAUAGGAAUUCUCUCAUAGAGAGUCAACAUUAUUAGCCUGAGAAAAUCGUGAAUUUUAACAUAAUAUAUUUUUUUAAUUGUAUAAUUUAGGGAAAUAGAGCUUAAUGCCACCAGUUCUUUAAUUUUAACAAAUAGAAAAAGAAAAAAAAUUACAUUACUUCUCUCUUCUCUCUCCCUCUUUCUUUCUCUCUACCUGAGUCUUGACCUUCUCCCCCACCAACAGUGGCGGAUCCAGGAUUAUGUAGCCAAGGGGGCUUAGUGUAAAAGUUCUGAAAUUUUUCUACAAAGAAAAUAAUGCUAAAAAGAUAGAAAGAUAGUACUUCCAUUCAUAAUUCAUAACAAAACCAAUAAUACAAGUUACAAUUGUCCACGACGAGUUUUUAUAUUCUGAAAACGUUGCAUUAUAAUUUCGUUAUCAAUACAAGCAAAAACAUCUCUCUCAAUGUAAACAAUCAAGCUAUCAUUCAACCAUUGAUCUCCCAUUCUGUUGCGAAGUGGAUUUUUAAUAAUAUUCAUAGCGGAAAAUGCCCUCUCCACUGAUGCAGUUGCAACCGGUAAAACCAAAGCCAAUGUAAGAAGCAAAUACACAAAAGGAAAUAUUUCAUGCAUUCCUUUCUCCACCAUUUUUUCCGCAAGACUAUUAAUCCCUUCCAAUUGAGAAAAAUCACUACUCGAACGCAUAUGAUGAACAUAAAUACCAAGUUGAUCUUCAAGCAUCAAUAAGUCUCUAUCCGAAAAAUCAUAAGGAUAAAAUUGAGCAAGACGAACUAGCUUUCGUUUGUCAAAAGCCACAAAGUUAUUUUUUGGACUCAAGCAUGCCAAACAAGUAAGUAACUCAGUACUUACCUCGUUGAAGCGAUCAUUUAAUUCCGCAAGUUGCCCAUCAAUUACAUGAAUAAAGAUCUCCACAUGAUAACGAUGAUAAUUUGUCUUCAUUGGAGCAUUACGCCGUGAUCUCCCUGGAAUUACAUAUUCCUCAUCCAUGGUAGGAACUAUAAUAUCAUGUUUGUAACAAAACGAGGAUGCUUGCUCAACCAAUUCUUCAAACUCAUUAUCCCUCAUCAACUGCAGGUUUUCCUUGCAUGUUUUCACUAAAUUCAUUGCACUCACAAUGUCUUGAUCUUUCUUUUGCAAUGCUAGAGACAAAGUGUUUGUUAUUCUCAAUAUAGCUUUCAUUAUAAAUAAGUGAAACACAAACUCAAAAGAUUGUAUUUCUCUCCAUAACUUAUAGGCUUCACCCGAACUAUCAUUAGGAUUAUCAUCAACAAUCAUUUGAAGCACAUUCACCACAGAUGGGAACAUAGAAAUGAUACUAAUCAACGUACCAUAAUGUGAGUUCCAUCGUGUAUCGCCGGCACGUUUGAGAGUCCUUUCUUGAUUUAAGCCCCGCCCCGUUAUAAGACAAUCAUCUUCAAAAGCUCUCACAAGCUCUUCUUGGUAUUGUGCUCUAAGUGCAUCGCGACGCUUACAAGAUGCUCCAACCACAUUAAUCAAACUAUUAGCCGUUGUGAAAAAAGAGUUGACAUCAAUGUUUUUCUUUGCUACCGCAACAAGAGCUAGUUGAAGUUGAUGAGCAAAGCAAUGAACAUAAAAUGCACAAGGUUGUUCUCUCAAAAUCUUUGUCUUAAGGCCAUUGAACUCACCUCUCAUAUUGCUAGCUCCAUCAUAACCUUGUCCUCGUAGCUUGGAAAAGCUCAAAUUCGCGGAAGAAAAGAAUUCAUCAAUUGCUUCCUUUAGUGCACUUGAAGUAGUGUCUGUUAUAUGUUGAACCCCCACAAACCUUUCAAUUAUUUGUCCUUUGUCAUUCACAUAACGCAACACCAUCGCCAUUUGCUCCUUUAUUGAAACAUCACGUGCUUUAUCCACCAUUAUUGAAAAAUAUCUAUCUUUUACAUCACUCAAGAUAAGAUCAAUGGUUUUUUUGGCACAAGAAUUGACAAGAUCUUUUUGUAUUGAAGGAGCUAUUAACUUUAAAUUUCCCGGAGUAUUUUCCAACACAACGGCCUUAACUUUUUCAUCAUGAUCCGCAAGAAAUUGUAAGAGCUCUAAAUAAUUCCCUUUAUUACUUGAUUGUGCACUUUCAUCAUGACCACGAAAAGAAAGCCCUUGCCGCAACAAAUACCUAGUGCACUUAAGUGAUGCAUUCAAGCAAGUGCGAUAAGCCGUGCGAGCUUGGCUUGUUUGCUUGAUCACAAUUGUUUCAAUGUGUGUAGUUUGAUGCAUCAAAUUGUAAGCAACUUCUCUAGCUUGGUUGUGAACACUACCAACCGGUCCAAUAUGAAGGUUAAAUCUUUCUUUCGCCUUCUUCCAAUUAUUGAAGCCUACCCCAGUGAAUGCAUCACCACCCACUUGAUCAAAAUUAGAUUUGAAGAGAUAACAAUGAAGACAAAAUGCAGCAUCUUUAGCAAUACUAUAUUCCAACCAAUCAUGAUCAUCAAACCAAUGAGCAAUGAAGCGUCUAUUAAUUCCUGAUUGAUUAGUUUGUGGGAAUUUAUAACUUCUAGGUUGACAAGGUCCCUUUUGUAGAUAUGCUCUUCGGAUCUCAUCCCUAAUAUUAGGACUAUAAUCCGCCAUUCGAGUUCUUAGUCCAGGGUCUGCUUGAAGAUUAGCUAAGAUCUCAUCUACAUCAAUUGGUCUUGCAUUUGAACUACCCGGAUUAGACAGAGAAGAACUAUCCGUAGAUAAUUUUCUUUUAAAGAAUCGUUCCAUAAAUCUACAAAUCAAUUAAUUCAAUCAAUCAUUAAUUUUUAUCCAAAUUAUCAUAUGAAUAUGAAAAUUUCAAUAACCCACUCUCAAUAUUCAAUAUACUCCCUAAACCCAUAUCAAUCAAUAUUCAAUAUACCAAAUUAUCAUAUCAAAUAGCAAUCAAUAUUUAAUAUACCCAAUCAAUUCAUAUUAUCAAUCAAGCAUAAACUCAAUCAAUCUACAUUAAUAUGAUUAUCACUAUGAUUCAUAUCCAUAAAUUUAAUUACAUAAAAAAAAAAUAUCAAUAUGAUUCAUAUCCAUAAAUUUCAAGCAUAAACUCAAUCAAGCAUAAACUCAAUCAAUCAAUAUGAUUCAUAUCCAUAAAUUUCAUUACAUAAAAAAAAAAUAUCAAUAUCAACAAUAUAUAUUAUCACUAUAAUUAUUAAUAUCAGAUUUUCCAUGCUUACUUACUUGUAGUUUAAAAAAUGGGCGGCGGACGGCAGUAGAAGGUGGUGGUGAUCGGCACUGGACCACCGGUGAAGAGUUGAUGGAGGUUGUCCAAGGUUGGGAGGUUGGGAGGUUAGGGUUUGAGAGGAUGGGAAGAGGGGCUGUGGAAUUGGGAAUGAAAGGUUUGGAGAAAAUGAAUCUGUGCAGAGCUGCUGUGCGUGUAUACUGUUCUGUUUUUUUUUUGUUUUUUUUUUUAAAAAACCUGGCCCAAAACGACGUCGUUUUGAGGCCAGGUCAAUUAAAAAAAAUUUGACUGAGCCUUGACCAAACGACGUCGUUUGGCAAGGCUGGUUUUAAAAAAAAAUUACGCGCAGCGCAGCUGCGCAGUUGCGCAGGACAUUUCGUUGGGGCAUUUCGUCGAGCACAUUGUGUGCAUACAAGGGGGCUUCCAGCAGCUGUCCAAGGGGGCUUUCAUGGACUCCCUUGCCAAAUUUUCAGCCUUCCAAGGGGUCGUCCGACCCCUCUUGUCCCAACGUGGAUCCGCCAUGGGCCACCAACGAAUAGGUAAACGUUAAUUGUAAAGAAAAGCAGCAAAGUACAUGCCAUUACAGAAAUUUUUGUGCUUGAAUUUUAAUUACUGAAAUUAUGUGCUUGAAUUUCAAGCAGCAAAGCACACUCCCAAAUCGAAAGGCAAACCCAUUCAAACAUCAUACAAAUCAAGAGGGAUAAUAUCCAAAACCAUUCAAGAAAUCAAAACCAAGAGGGCUGGGGCGCUCCUUUUGUUUAUAAAUUAAAUUUUGUUUUUGUUUUAUGGUUUAGAAAAGAUUUGGAGUUUUUGGGUUCUGUUUGGUAGGCAAGAAAAUUGCAACAGGAAGUUGAGAUUUUAGAGGUGGAUUUGGUUGGGGAAGGAGUGGUUUUGAGGAUUUUUAAGGCGGCGAUGCUGGUUAGAUGGAAGGGAGGAGCUGGCGGGGACACUACUACAUUUUACACUUUGCGCAACGAAGAGAAUUUCGUCGCGCAAAAUACAUUGUAGUCGCACAAAUUUUAGCGCGACAGAAACUUAGUCGCGCAGAAUCCGUCGCACAAAGAUCGUGAAGAAACACUUUGCGCGACCAAGUUUUUUCAUUGGUAGCGCAAAGUGACCUUUGAGCGACGAAAAACAUUGGUCGCGCAAAGUUUUGCGCGACGAAACACAUUGGUAGCGCAAAGUUUUGCGCGACAAAAAACAUUGGUCUCGCAAAGUCUUAAAAAAAUAAAUAAUAAAUAAAAAAUUCCCCCGUCCCAUUUUUGGUACCCGCUCAAAAAUAAAAAAUUCCAGUGUCCCAUUUUUAGAGUUUUGCGCGACGAAAUAUUUUUUGUGUUUUAAAUUUUUUUAAUUAAAAUAAACUAAUUUAAUACUUUGCGCGACGAAAUAUUUUGUCGCGCAGGGUUUUUGACUUUUUGUUUUAUUAUUUCUUUAAUAUUAAUUUAAUUAAUUAAUUUUUUUUGAAAUUUUACUUUUGAAAUUUUGUAUGAUUUUUUUAAAUUACUUUAAUUUAAAUUUAUAUUAAUUUUUUCAAAUUUUUACUUUUUAAAUUUAAUUUAAUUGUAUAAUUUUUUUUUAAUUACUUUAAUUUAAAUUGACAUAUUCAAAAUAAAAUUACAUAUGAAAAAUAGUGAUCAAAUUAUCCAAUAAAUAUAUAUUCAAAAUGUACACAUAAAUUAACAAAUCCUAAUACAAGUGUAUUGUGGUGGUAGUGGCGGAGGAUAUGUUUUGAUAGCUUCCUAAUCCUCAACUUUAGCCGUCAAAGUCUCAAUGAUUCCCUACAAAAAAACAAAUACGGUCAAAUAACAAAAAAGAAAAAGAAAAAAAGAAGGCAUAAUCUCCCCAAAAAUUGUUAUACCACAAAUCCAACCCAAACUCCAAUCCCUCCCCUUUACUCAACCCCAAACCCCACACAAACUCAAAACUAACUCCAAAAACACAUAUUAAUGAAAAAAAUUUAAAAUUUGGAGAGAAUAUACCUUUUGGAAAGAUUGAGAGUGAGUGAGAAUGAAGUGAGUGUGAGAGAAUUAGAGAAGAUAGUGAUAGAGAGAUGAGAUAGUGAGUGAGAGUGAGAGAUGGUGAAAAGAGAGAUAAGAGAGUGAGUGAGAGUGAGAGAUAGUGAAGAGAAAGAUGAGAGAUUAAGUGAGAGGAGUGAGUGUGAGAGAAAUGGUGGGAUUUGGGGAGAGGGAAAGAAAGAGGAGAGGUAAGAGUAGAGAAAGACAUUGAGAAAAUGGUGGAGGAGUUAUUUCAGUUUUAAAAACCGUAUCACUUUGCGCGACGAAAAAUAUUGUUAGUCGGCAAAGUUUUGCGCAACGAAAAAUAUUGGAAUAUUAGUCCCGCUAACUUUUGCGUGACGAAACAUAUUGGUCGCACAAAGUUUUGCACGACGAAUAUAGGAAUAUUGGUCGCGCAAAGUCUUUAAAAAAAUUAUUAUAAAUAAAUAAAAAAAUUCCCGCUUCCCAUUUUUGGUACCGGCCAAAAUUUUUAAAUUUUUGCGUGAUGAAAAAUACAUAUUGGUUGCGCAAAGUCUACAAAAAUUACCGCAUCCCAUUUUUGGUACCCCGAAUUUUUGCUCGACGAAAAAUAUAUAUUGGUCGCGCAAAGUUUUGAGCGACAAAAAAUAUUGGUUGCGCAAAGUCUAAAAAAAGUCUUUUUUUUUUAAAUCCUGAGUCCCAUUUUUAGUACUAGCCCAAAUUUUUAGAGUUUUGCUUGACGAACUGUUGGUCGCGCAAACUUUUGAGAGACGAAAAAUUAGUUCGUACCAUAAUAUUUAUAAAAAUAAUUGUUAUGAAUAAUAAAAAAUAAAAUAUUUUUAUUUUACAAUUUAAAAUAUAAAUAAGGUUAAAGCUACAUAAUAAAUAUAUAUACUAUUCAAUUUCUUAAGUGUUAUACGUACAAAAUAAAUAAAUUUAAAGCUACUUAAUAAAUAAAUAUAUAUAUACACAAACCAUUCAACGAUCCAACUGUCAGACUUGUUUAUAUAUACUUCAAGAUCGUAUACCCUAAAAAACGCAAAAAAUAAACAUUCAGAGAUCUAGUAACGGGACAAAACUUUUCGAUGGUUAUAAAUGAAAAAUCACAAUUUUUGAUAUUUUUUUACAGCUACACUCCUUGACCCUAUAUGAAUACAAUGACUAAAUUUGAUCUUCAAUUUAAAAUAUUUACACUAGUGGAUACCACAAAAUCUUAUGUUAUAUUUAACCAAAGUAUAAAUAAACUCUUAGUUGUUAGUGAAUAUAUUUUUUUGAUGGCAUACGCAUUCUACGAAACUAGUUUCAACUAUCCAACCGUCAAACUUGUUUGUUUAUACUUCGAGAUCAUAUACGCCAAAAAUCAGAAACAAUAAACAUUCAGAGAUCAAGUAAUGGGAUAGAACUUUUCGACGGUUAUAAAUGAAAAAUCGUGAUUUAAUGGUUAUUUUAACUCCGAUUUUGAUGAUUUUUUACAGCUACACUCCUUGACCCUAUAUGAAUAUAAUGAUUGAAUUUGAUCUUCAAUUUAAAAUAUUUACAUUAGUGGAUACCACAAAAUCUUAUGUUAUAUUUAACGGAAGUAUAAAGAAACUCUUAAUUAUUAGUGAAUAUAUUAUUUUCAUGGCAUAUGCAUUCUACGAAACUAGUUUCAACGAUCCAGCCGUCAAACUUGUUCGUUUAUACUUCAAGAUCAUAUACGCCAAAAAUCAGAAAAAAUAAACAUUCAGAGAUCAAGUAAUGGGAUAAAACUUUUCGACAGUUAUAAAUGAAAAAUCUUGAUUUAAUGGUUAUUUUAACUCCGAUUUUGAUGAUUUUUUACAGCUACACUCCUUGACCCUAUAUGAAUACAAUGACUGAAUUUGAUCUUCAAUUUAAAAUUUUUACACUAGUGGAUACCACAAAAUCUUAUGUUAUAAUAUUUAACGAAAUUAUAAAUUAACUCUUAAUUGUUAGUGAAUAUAUUGUUUUGAUGGCAUAUGCAUUCAGCAAAACUAGUUUCAACGAUCUAACCGUCAAACUUGUUUGUUUAUACUUCUACACGCCAAAAAUCGAAAAAAAAUAAACAUUCAGAGAUCAAGUAAUAGGACAAAACUUUUCAACGGUUAUAAUGAAAAAUCACGAUUUAACGGUUAUUUUAACUCCGAUUUUGAUGAUUUUCACAGCUACACUCCUUGACCCUAUAUGAAUACAAUGAAUUAAUUCGAUCGUCAAUUUAAAAUAUAUAUUUUCUAACAAAAACCCAAUCCGAAUAAUAAUAAUAUAUUUUUCUAACAAAAAUCCGAUCCGAUCUAAAAUAAUAAAUUUAAAGCUACUUAAUAAAUAUAUAUACCGCUUAAUUUCUUAAGUGUUAUGCAUACAAAAUAAAAUAAAUAAAUAAAUUGGUUUAGGCGACGAAAUGUUUGGAUUACGUCAUGCAAAGAUUUUUAAAAAUAAAUUUUUAUUUUAUUUAUUUUUAUAAGGACUUUGCGCGACGAAGUUUAUUGUUUCGUCGCACAAGACUUUGAGCGAUGAUUUAUUGUCGUCGCGCAAAGUUUGUAGCGCGAAGUGACUUUGCGUGACGAAUUAUUUUUCGUCGUGCAAAAUUUGGUCGCGCAAGACUUUGAGUGACGAAGUUUUGAGUGUCGUCGCGCAAAGUGACUUUGAGCGACGAAUAGUUUUUCAUAGCGCAAAAUUUGGUCGCGCAAGGGGUUUUUUUUUACUAGUGGGAGGGGGUGAGGCAGUGAUGAUUACCCCAAGUGGGUUGGUUGGGGGAGGGAGUCGGGUAAAGAGAGAGGGGAGAGAAGAGAGAAGGGAAGAGAGAAGUAAUGUAAUUUUUUAAUUUUUUUAAAAUAAAAUAUUUUAUUAUAUUUUUCACAUGUGACACUUACAUGGCGUAUAUUUUAACAAAAGAACGAACCCUAUUUGUGUCACAUUAGCAUUUUUAACAGAAUUUUUGACAGAGUUAACAGUGGGAGGCAAAGUGAGCCACAAAAUCUUGGUCAAGGGGGUACUCUGGGUCACUUUAACUUUCAGGAAGUAAAGUAAAAUUUGACUAUAGUUUCAGGAGGCACUACAGUAAAUAAGCCUAAAAAAAAUUCGAAUAUCAUAUUGGGUUAGGAAAUUGAAAACACAAGGAAGCCUAUUUCAUUGUUUCUCUUGUCAAAUGGCCUUUUUUUCAAAAAGUGAAGUCUCUGGUAGCAAAGGCUUUUCUUGGUUUCCACCAAAGUUGAUGGUGAUUGAAUGCCUCCCAACUCCAUCUUGAAUUGGUUCUCCAAGUCACUAAAGAAAGUUACCUCAAAGUUUCUUCACCAAUAAGAGCUUCAGAAGAAGGUGAUGUAUCUUAGUGAGAUGAUUAUGCUAGCAAUCUCUCACCAAGAAGACCGGUUUUUGCAAGGGUUGAAUGGGAAAGCUAGAGCAGAGCUUAUGUAACAUCCUGACCCAAUUUUAACCAUUUAUUAAAUCUAUUUAAUUUAUUUAAUUAAAAAAUUACAAUUUUGUCCUUGGAGUAAGGUCACGAUGGUCACUUUUCGAUCCGUAAGGAUAUUGAGGAUUUAAGUGGCACCGUUGUGUAGAGCGCAUCGAUACAUUAAAAAACUGCUAAUAAGUUAGGAACAUACAUUAAAAGACUACAUAUAAGUUACAUACGAAAAUAGACAAGUAAAAAAUGUAUGUUACCUAUAAAUAAAAAAAGGUAUAUAAAAUACUAUUAUACAUUAUCGAAAAUAUGAAAAACACAUCUAUAUAUAUACCUAUGCAAUAGGCAAUAGAAUAAUAUACCUGCACCACAUGAUAAUAUAUCCAUAAGAGUAUGUGAUAUACAUCUACCAUAGGGUGAACAAAAAUAAAAAUUGUUACCAAUAACUCAUGUGCUAAACGAUGUGCUACUAUAUUUGCUUCCCUAAAACACUUGAACAAUCAGUAAUUCAAUCGCCUGAAGGCAAGAGAAGCAUGAUGAAACUUACAAAGGAUGGUCAACAACUUCUGUGCAAGCAUUAGGACAUCCAAUGGCCAUUGAUGGACCACGCUUUCUGGGAUGAAUGAGGUUGGAGUGCGAGUCACCAUCCAUAAGAGCACGGAUUCGAGUGAGCCCAACGAUGUGGUUCUUAGUGCAGCCACGACCAUUUGGCUAUCAGUAUCUCCACAAAAUGUGUUCAAUUUUUUCAAGGAUGAAAGAACUCACUUUGGGAAUGUUUGCGAUAUUUUUCUUUUCUAUUCAAUGACAAAUGUCAUAAAUGCCUAAUUAUUAUCACAUAAAUUACUAUUACCCAAUUCAAGGCAUAAAGGGCAACAUUGGAACCAAAAAUGAUUUAAAGAAAAUAAAAAUAAAAAGAUUAUAUCAUUAAAUAUUUUAAAACGAAUGUGAUCCUAUGUGGCACAAAAGUUAAAGGACUUGUAUCAAAGUCCCCAAAUUCAAAGAUUAAACCCAACUUCUCAAUGAAAAUUUGGAUCUAUAUCAACUUUUCUAUUAACUAAUCUUAAUUUUUGCUCCAAAAUACACAAAAUAAGCUGUUUUUAACAUUAAAUUUGCCAUCAGGGAUUUGGCCGCAAAUAUAUAUAACAUCCACAAGAUACCCCUCCAAGUACUACAACUGCCAGUGAAUCUCUCUUCUAUGAGAAUUUUUUUAAACAAUGGCCAAUGAAUCCACCAAACAAGUUUAUUUCUUUUCAAUGGAAGUUUUAUUUUCCCAGAAUGUACGUUACGGUAAUAUGUGGAAGUAUCAUCAUAAUUUCAUAGAGUCAUUCGGUAUGAAUGCUACAUGACACUACUUGAAAAUGAAAACGGCUCUUCUGCUCAUAAAUGAAAUGUUCCAAAUGUUCCAAUAAAUUGUUGCUCCCAUUGGACUAUUUGUAUCUAUAUGCAUUAGGAUCCCAAUGUUCAUUGAUCUCUCAGUUCGAGAAAUAAAAAUUAGAGGAGAAGCGAUCCUUGCAGGGCCGUCUCUGAGAUUUUGAGGGCCCUGUGCGAAACUUAAAUUAGGGCCUCACAUAAUCUAAUAUGAAAAUACUAUAAAUUGGUGUUGAAAUUCCUGAAAUUGAAAGAAUAACAAUAGAACCAAAGAGAGAUUGAUGAAUGAUGAUGAUUACUUAUCAGAAAAUCAGAGUUUAAGAGAAAGAAGCCAUGAAUUUGUUUUUGUUUUGUUUUGAAUGAAGAAAGUACUUUUCUUGGAGGAGAAACCUUUUGUUUAAUUUUUAAGAACGAUAGUAACAAUAUAAAAAUAGGCAAAUAGAUCGGCUUCAGAAAGAACCAAACUCUAGCCCUUUUGUUAAAUGAAUAUGCGCUCCAGCCAACCCCGCUAGACAAGCUCUUGUGCAAAUAGUCAGCACGCUAUACUAUAUAUAUACAAUUCCUAUAAUAUUAAAAUAUAUAUAUAUAUAUAUAAAGAAUUUUUUUUUCGGAGGCCCUUAAGAAUCGAGGGCCCUGUGCGGUGGCGCCACUGGCGGACCCAAUCAAAGACAACUGUGGGCUAGCUGCCCACACUUACCAAAAAAUCUUCAGCCGUAAAAUCCCACUUAAAUUCAUAAUUUUUAAUUAUUUUUAGGUCCCUUCCAAGUAAAGCCCCCACAUAGCCCAUUCAAUACACACUUAAAGCCCAAAACUUAUAUUAAAAAAGAAAAACCCUAAACCCUAUGUUAAAAAGGAAGAAUAGAGAUCCCAUCAAGUUCACUCAUUCUGUAAUUUUGUGGAGAACUCAGCCGCCAAACUUGUUAUUUGACAGAAGUCUACAGCCCAACAAAUCAAACUCGCUACUUUAAUUGAUUUUACAAGUUACUACUUAGUUGUUUUUUACAAACUAAUUUCAUUAUAUUCUUAUUUAUAUGCAUUCAAUUUGUACUGAUGAUCGAUUUUUUUUUAUUUAUUAUUAUUAUUAUUAUAUAUCUUGAUGAAAAAUAAUAUAAACUAUUUAUGACAGUUAUGGAAAAAUAUUUUAAAAGAAAAUCCAAGUUGGAGUUGUCAAGACCUAUUGGGAGAAGUGAUGAUAGUUCAAAGCAAAGUCACAUAGAAAUCAAUAUGUCAGAUCAUCAUUCUGAUUCCGGUUUACGAACUCGAAUUUUAGAUUACAAUCCGAACAUUCGAGAUGAAAUUAGAAGAGCUUACUUACAAAAAGACCCUUGUCAGCCUAGAAAUCAUGAUUUCCCUAAAAAUAAAUUUAGAAAAGAGUCAAGACGAUUCAACUCGGCAUGGUUUGAUGAAUUCCCUUAUUGGUUGGAACAUAGAAUCAAAGAAGAUUCUGCAUUUUGCUUAUGUUGUUAUCUUUUUAAAAAAAAUUUGGGAGAGAAAGUUGGAGGUGACUCAUUUGUUGGUGCAGGUUUUUCAAAUUGAAAGAAAAAGGAAAGAUUUCAAGUUCAUGUUGGAGGUCCCAAUAGUUCCCAUAACCAAGCUCUGAAAAAAUGUCAAGCCUUAAUGAAUGAAAAACAACAUAUUGAAAAUGUUUUCCAUAAGCACUCACAUCAAUCUCGAAUUGACUACAGAAUCAGAUUGAAUGCAUCUGUUGAUUGUAUUAGAUUUCUUCUACGACAAGGUAUUGCCUUUUGUGGCCACGAUGAGUCUGAGGAUUCAAGCAACCAAGGUAAUUUUCUUGAGCUUUUGCAAUUUCUUGUUGAUCACAAUGAGGAAGUUAGAGCUGUUGCUUUGAAAAAUGCUCCAGAAAACCUCAAAGUAACUUCACCUAAGAUUCAAAAAGACAUUGUAAAUGCUGCAGCAGUUGAAACUACUGAUGUUAUUAUUAGAGAUAUGGAUGAUGCAUUCUUUUCUAUUUUAGUUGAUGAAUCUCGUGAUGUGUCAGUAAAAGAGCAGAUGGUUGUUAUGCUUCGUUAUGUAGACAAGAAAGGAUGUGUGAUUGAAUGGUUCAUAGGUAUUGAACAUGUUACAAGUACCACAGUUGAGUCACUUAAAGUAAGUAUUGAUGCAUUAUUUUCUAGACAUAAAUUGAGUAUGUGCAAAUUACGAGGUCAAGGUUAUGAUGGGGCCAGUUAUAUGAGUGGAGAGUUCAAUGGUCUGAAGACACUUAUUAUGAGGGAGAAUGAGUCUACUUACUAUGUUCAUUGUUUUGCACAUCAACUUCAAUUGGCUAUAGUGGGUUUGGCAAAAAAGCACAGCCUCAUAUUUGCGCGACGAAAAUCUCAGUCGUCUCGCGGAAUAUUUUGCGCGACGAAAUAUUUCGUCGCGCAAAACGUGUUUGCGAGACGUAUAGGUUCGUCGCGCAAGAAUAAAAAGUAAUAAAAAAGUUGAUUUUUUAUUUUUUUUUGUUACAUACAUGUGGGUUUGCGCGACGAAAUGUUUUCCGUCGCGCAAAAAUAAUAUUACAAUUUUUUUUUGUUUUUUACUUUUUUGUUUUUUAUUUUUUUAAAAUAAAAUUGGUUUUUUUUUAUUGAUUAAACAAUGAAAUUGCAAUAAAAAUAAAUUAGAACAAAAUUUUGUUAUAAAAUAAAAUAAAUGUAUUACAAAUAAAAUAAAUGUUUAUAAUGAAAAUAAAUACACUAAUCAAAUAAUGAAGCAAAAUCAACCGGGUCGUCGCCAGUAUGCGGCUCGGAGGUCUGGGCGUCCACCGGGGCAGUGGUCUGGGCGUCCACCGGGGCAGUGGUCUGGUGGGCAGGCUCGGGGUGGACGGGCUGGGAGGUCGACGCACGAAACUGCAGGAUGGGAAAGCCUCCCUGUGCGAGGGACUGUAGAAUCACCGACAUCUGACCCUGAAGCUCGGCCACCUGUGCUGUCAAAGCAGUCACCUGACUGUUUGACUACGCCGAUGAACGAGGUCUAGGUUCCCUCUGCCAGGCAUUCCCCAUCCCUCGACAAUAUGUCCCCGGCCUCCUCCCGAGAGUCUGAUCCAACGUCUCCGUCAUGAUCUGAAAUCCAGCAUCCUGUGGAGGAGCCACAGACUCGAUCGGAGUCUCGGGAGGAAGCUGGGAGGCGGACUCCUGAAGAACCAGUUGGCUCCUCUCCACCAUCGUCGUCUGUUGAACAUAACAUAAAAUAUAAAUUAAAACAUGCAUAUAAAUUGAAUGCGUAACAUAAGAAUUAAAAUUAAAUAAUACUUACAUAAAGGGACUCGGCCAACUCAUUCCCGGGUCGAACAUAAACGUCACCAAAGACGUCGAUCUCUGGGAACUUGGACCCCUCCUAAAUUGAACAAGAGAAGACAAAUAUUAGUAUGAAAAAAAUAAAUUAAUAAAAAUGACAUUAAAAAUGAAAUAUAAAUUAUGUGAUUAUUACCCGUCGCCGUGCAUCCAUUCUAUACGAAAAGGGCCUAGAGCCGGAAUGGUGGAGAAGGGUCUUCUUCUUCCUAUUACCCUUAUUCACUUGGGCUUUAUUCUGUUAUACAAAAAAUGAAACGUAUUAGUUCAAAUAUAAAAAAAUUAAAUAAUAAUGAAAUAAAAAAAAUCAAAUAAACAUUAAUAAGAAAUAAGUAAUAAUUAAACAAAUAUUAUUUAAAAAAAAUACCACAUAUUCAGGCGCUUGAAAAUGAGCGCAGAGCCACUCCCAACUAUCCUCCCACCCCUCAAGCUCCUUCGGGCAACCCUCCUGAAGAGCGACUUGCGGAUCAUCAAAGGCCUGAAAAUGGUGGUGCAAGUCGCUCUUCCACUGCUUGUACCUCUCAGCGAAGAGUCUGUUGACGUACGCCAACGACUCUUCGUCGAGAUCCUCCAAGUUAUAGUUCGUCUGCAAUCAAUUAAUUAGAUAUGUUAAGUAAUAGAAAUAUACACAAUUUUAAAGAAAAAUAAUGAAAAUGUAAGGUAUAUACCGACAACUAGCCGCGAACCUCCACCUUGAUCUCGUCAGGCAUGACCCUCCAAGACUUCCAUUGCAUCGGGCAAUGAGUCUGCACGACGUGGCCAAUGUCGUGGGCCAAGGAGCUAUGCAACUCCGCCGUCGGUGCAGCCCGAUGGCGCUCGUCGUAUCCGAUGCUGAUACGACUGUUGGUCACCUGGGUGACCUUCGCCGUCUUCAGCUGACGACACGGCCCUCGGGUGUUCUUCUUCGCUGCAAAGAAAUAAGGUAUUAAUGUUAAAUAAACAACAUUGUCAAAUUUCAAUAUAAAAUUAAAAAUACAAAAGGGUAGUUAUACCUGGCUGUGAUCCCGAGGCACCAGUACCGUCGGUUGAUGUCGUCUCGGUGGUGUCGGCGGGCUGGUGCCGCCGCCUAGCACUAGCUGGCUGUGCGACGGAUGACGCAGAUGACGCUGGCGCCUGGGACGCCCCGGGACCAACCAGCACGUGGUCCAUCAAAGCUGGAGCAGUGGCAGCAGAUGCCGACUGAGCCGGGGGAUCCGAACUCGGUGCAGUCGUCAUCAACCUACCACGUCUAAUCAAGUCUGACAUCUGCACAUAUAAUUUCAUUAAGAAUUUAAACUAAUUAAGUAAAAGCAUAGCAUGACCUAGGGUUUGGAAUUUCGGAGUAUCCGGGACUCCGAUCAACGGUCGGUCGAAUCCUAAACGAUCCUAGAAACACAAAGGUACAACUACGUGAGUUUGAGUUCGAUCCAACGGUCCGAACAUAUCAAACCUGAAAAUCGCACAAUAGGCGAAAUCCGAUCAAGACUCAAACGGUAACCAAAUUCAAAUCCGAGCAAACCUACGCGCUCGUGACAAACAGGGGAUUGCUCUGGGACCCAAUGCCACACUGCCACAGAAUCCCACGCGCCACCACACGCGCCGGCAGCGCAUGGGUGUCCAAAGCGAUAACAUUCGCCGGAAAAUUCUAAAAACUAAGGGCCAAGGUUCCUACCCUAGGUUGAAAACAUUAAUUGGAGCCACUUUUGUUCUCGGACCUACCCCGAAAAAUGGCUGGAAGUGGCCGGAUUUGAAAUUCCCAAACCAUCCAAAACCUAGGGUUUUAAUUCCUAUUUCCUAUAGCGAAAAUUGAAGAAAUCCUAACCAACCAUCAGCUAGAGCACAAAAAAUAGUCGAGAAAUCAUACCUCAGGCGUCGGAAAUGGUGGCCGGAGGAGAGAGAAAUCGGCCGGCGAAGAAUCGGGAAAAACCGACGAAAUUGCGACGGCAAGCUCGACGGCGACGGCAGGGAGGCUACGGAACGAGCGGAGGUGGCUGAGGUGACGGCGGAGAGAGAGGGCUGAGGUGACGGCGGAGAGAGAGGGAGAAACGGAGAAAAACCAGAAAAUGGGGAAGAAGGAGGCAUCGGGCCGUUUCUGCAAAUUUAUUCGACUUUGCACGACGAAGAACAGAAUGCGUCGCGCAAAAUGGACUUAAUUAAUCUUGCGCGACGAAAAAUCCGUCGCGCAAUGUGUCCCACAACGCCAAAUUUUGAAUUGGGAUUAGGGUCUGUGCCUUUUGCGCGACGAAAAGGCAUAAGUUCGUCGCUCAAAACACUUUCUUUCCGCCUAAAUUUUGGGAUUUAGGGUUUAGCGGGAGGCUGAAAGUGAAGGGUUUGUGCUUUUGCGCGACGAAGACAGUAAACGUCGCGCAAGGAGAAGAUUGCGCGACGGAAUAUAACAUACUCGUCGAGCAAAACACUUUCUUUCCACCUAAAUUUUGGGAUUUAGGGUUUAGCGGGGGGCUGAAAGUGAAAGGUCUGUGCCUUUUGCGCUACGAAGACAGUAAACGUUGCGCAAGCAGACGAUUGCGCGACGGAAGACAGUGUAUUCGUCGCGCAAAACACUUUCUUUCCGCCUAAAUUUUAGGAUUUAGGGUUUAGCGGGGGGCUGAAAGUGAAGGGUCUGUGCCUUUUGCGCGACGAAGACAGUAAACGUCGCGCAAGCAGACGAUUGCGCGACGAAAAACAAUGUAUUCGUUGCGCAAAACACUUUCUUUCCGCCUAAAUUUUGGGAUUUAGGGUUUAGCGGGGGGUUGAAAGUGAAGGGUCUGUGCCUUGUGCGCGACGAAUACAGUAAACGUCGCGCAAGCAGACGAUUGCGCGACGGAAAACAGUGUAUUUGUCGCGCAAAACACUUUCUUUCCGCCUAAGUUUUGGGAUUUAGGGUUUAGCAGGGGGCUGAAAGUGAAGGGUCUGUGCCUUUUGCGCGACGAAGACAGUAAACGUCGCGCAAGCAGACGAUUGCGCGACGGAAAACAGUGUAUUCAUCGCGCAAAACACUUUCUUUCUGCCUAAAUUUUGGGAUUUAGGGUUUAGCGGGGGGCUGAAAAUGAAGGGUCUGUGCCUUUUGCGCGACGAAGACUGAAAACGUCGCGCAAGGUUCGCUAAUGAAAAUGAAUGGUCUGUGCAUUUUGCACGACGAAGACAGGAAACGUCGCGCAAGGUUCGCUCAGGAUUUUGAUUCGGUUGAAAUUUUCACUAAGUGUUCAAAGGGGAUGGAGGGGUGAAAUGUGUGGCCCAGAUUGCACGACGAACAGAGCUGGAUCCGUCGCGUAAUCUUGUCUUUGCGUGACGCAUAUAUUUAUUCGUCGCGCUAGUUCAGGAUUUUGAUUCGGUUGAAAUUUUCACCAAGUGUUCCAGAUUGCGCGACGAACAGAAGAUGGAUCCGUCGCGCAAUCUUGUUCACUUACGCUUUGCGCGACGAACAGAAUAUGAUUUCGUCGCGCAAAACCUAAAGCCUAAAAUGUAAACCCUAAACCCUAAGCCCUAACCCUAAACCCUAAAAUAGUUUCAAUGAUCCAACCGGCAAACUUAUUUUUUUAUACUUGGAGAUCGUAUACGCCAAAAAUCAAAAAGACCAAACAUUCAGAUAUCAGGGAACGGGACAAAAUAUUUCGACGGUUAUAAAUGAAAAGUCAUGAUUUAACGGUUAUUUUAACUCCGAUUUUGAUCAUUUUUUACAGCAACAUUUGUUGACCCUAUAUGAAUACAAUGACUGAAUUUGAUCUUCAAUUUCAGAUUUUUACACUAGGGGAUACCACAUAAACGUUAAGUUACAUUUUCACAAAUGUAUGAACAAAUUUUAGGAUUUUUGGUGAAUAUAUGAUUUUGAUAGCACACGCAGUCUAUGAAACUACUUUCAGUCAUCCAGCCGUCAAACUUGUUUUUUUAUACUUCGAGAUCAUAGACAGCAAAAAUCGGACAAAAAAAACAUUCAGAGAUUAAGUAACGGGGUAAUACUUUUCGACGGUUCUAAAUAAAAAGUGAUGAUUGAACGGUUAUUUUAACUCCGAUGUUGAUGAUUUUUUUGCAGCUACAGUCCUUCACUCCAUAUGAAUACAAUGAACUAAUUCGAUCGCCAAUUUUAAAUAUAUAUGUGUGUAUAACGUUACCCUAUAACGUUACGCUAAUAUAUAUUUGCGCGACGAAGGGACCCUUAUCGUCGCGCAAAAAGACCAUGCUCGACGGAAGUAUAUUUUGUCGUGCAGUGUUGUAACUUUACGCGACGAAUAUAUAUGCGUCGCGCAAACUAUGCGCGACGAGGUUGAUUCGUCGCGCAAGGAUUUGGCGCCAUUUCCUCAUUUAGUUCAAAUUGUGUAUGCUUUGUAUUUUUUGGAAAGGUUUUGUGUUCAUCAUUUUUUAACUUUGUAUAAAGAGGGUUAUAUUAUUUGUUUUACCGAUGUUGUUUAACUAAAUAUUUUUUCAUUUUUGAUUUUGUUGUAUGUUUUAACAAUGUCUCACGCGAAGGAAUAAACUUUAAUAAACUCAUGAAAACUUUAAUAAAUUUUAACAAUGUUUUAACAAUGUUUUAACAAUGUCCUUUUUGUUUUAUAAAGUGAAGGAAUAAACUUUCAUAAACUCAUGAAAACUCAAUCAAAUUUAGAAUUGGCCAUAAACCUCAUUACGUCAAAUGUUUUGUCAAUAAAAUUUUUCAAAUUAUUAUUAAAAGGGUUUUAUAACUAGAUUUAUUUAACAAUGUUACACUUGUUGACAUAUAUAAGGAUUGGAUAUAACAACUACAUAUAUUCAAAGAUUUGUAUUACACAAAAUGAAUACACAAACAUAAUAAAUUUACAAAUAAAUUCAUUAUUCAUCAUCUGAACAAUAAUAACUUUCGUUAUCGUCGCUAUCAUCACUCUCGGUCUCCCAAUCUUCUUCCUCCUCCUCCUCUAUAACUGCAUCAUCGGCGUUGCUAGGGCCCACUGCAACAUCGUAUCGCGGAAGAUCACCGAGGUCAAUUGUAAUUGACUGAAUCGGUAUUUCGACUGAAGACACUCCUUCUAUUUGAAACGGUUCUUGUAUAACAUUUGUACCUCGAAGUGUUUCCGCAUCAUUUUCCAUUGAAGAUUCUAAACGUUGGUCAGCCACAUUGUCGACGUCGUUGUCACUUGGGUCUAGUUCUGGUAUAUCAUACACGUUCCUAUGAUCCAUCUUCUGCACAACUUUCCACCCGCUCCCGGCUUUAGGGUCAUCUAGAUACACAAUUUGGGACGCCAUGUUUGCCAAAAUGUACGGGUCGUUAUCAUACCAAGUUCUGUUAAUGUUCACAGACAGUACUCCAUGGUCGAGUUUAACACUUCCCUCCCUAUUUGGGUUGGUAUCGAACCAUCGACACUUAAACAUGAUGACUUGGUAUCGAUCUUUGUAAAGCAAUUGCACGACAGUUGUCAGUUUGCCAUAGAAAUCAAUGUCCGUACUUUCGCCUCCACUGGGACAUGGACACCGCUGUUUUGCGUACACAACUUGUCAUCUCGUGCGGCCCCCAAAAAUUUGACGCCGUUAACAUUACAACCCGAGAACAAUUCAGCGCGAAUUGGGCCGAACGCCAAGUUAUAUAACUCAUCACUGUAAGUGGGGGAAUUCGAUGAUUUCAAUUUAUUCACCUAAUAGUAUACAAAACCAUUGACAUGUUAGUCAAUUACAAAACACUUAUAACUUACAGAAUCCAAAAACCAUUGUGGAAAUAAUUCACGGUGUUUCCGGGCAACCAACUGUGAUGGAUGUUCUCGCUUCAUCAUCUGUUCAUGCUCAUCUAAGUAGGCCAUUAUCUCAUCACAAUUGUUCAGUACGAACCAAUGCGCUACCUCCAUCUCAUUUCUAGAAAACGACUCUCCUCGUCCAGGAUCUCCAAAUGGUCGUGCGCUUUGGGCAAAAACAGAAAGUUUUUCAUUUCUCAUACCUCCGUCAUUAUUGCGUUGAGGACGAUUGAAAACCGUCUCCACAUCUUUUAAAUACAUUCCACAGAAAGUAAGCGACUCAUAUUAAACCCAAGCCUCUAUAAUUGAUCCUUCGGGCUUUGCCCUGUUGCGUACACUUUUUUUGCAGCUCUCCGAGAAGCCUGCCAAAAUAAAACGAUAUGAUACAAAUUAGCAAAGUGUCGAUAAUGAUGCAUACACAAAUGAUAAAGAUUAUAUACCUUUCUAUUGGAUACAUCCAGCGAUAGUUGACAGGACCAGCAAGCAAUGCCUCUUCUGGCAAGUGAACCAUCACGUGCAUCAUACUUGUAAAGAAAACUAGAGGAAAUAUCAUCUCAAACUUGCAUAGGACUUGGACAAUGUCAUGGCGCAACUGAAACAUGUCUGUCUUUCGCAAUGUUUUUGCCGUCAGUUGGGAAAAAAAUCUGGAUAACAACAUGAUUGGCUUCACUACAUCUUCCGGUAGUAGGUGUUGAAUACCCACAGGAAGUAGGCGUUACAUAAACACAUGGCAGUCAUGGCUCUUAAGUCCAGUAAAUUUACCCCCAACGACAUUCACGCAACGUCCGAUAUUAGAAGCAUACCCAUCGGGAAAUUUGACAGACGAUACAAACUUUAGAAACUCUUUUUUGUCAUUCGGUUUCAUAGAAAAGAAUGCAAGAUCCCUUCUAGCUUUAUCACUGUUCCUAUUCAUCCAUAAACCCCUUCGUAUGCCCAUUCUUUCCAAAUCAAGACGAGCUUUGAUCGUGUCCUUCGUCUUCCCCUCGAUAUCUAGAAUCGUGCCCACCAAUGUGUCGAAUACAUUUUUCUCAACAUGCAUCACAUCUAGAUUGUGCCUCAAUUUCAGUUUCGACCAAUAUGGGAGCUCAAAAAACAUAGGCUUGUGCGUCCAGUUCAAAUGUGUAGAAGGUCUAGUCCGACUAACUGUUUUCCCGAACGGAGCAAAAUCCAAACGGUUCAGCUGUUCCAAGAUCUCAUCACCGGACCAUUCUCUAGGUCUGAGGCGACGCUCUGUGUUCCCGUCGAACUCUUUAUCUUUUUCUCGCCACUCGUGGUCCCAUGGCAACCAUCUCCGAUGACCAAGAUAACAAACUUUUCCCGCGUGCUAACCAGAAGUUACAUCUUCCUUGCAUACAGGACAUGCCAUAUAACCCUUUGUGCUCCACCCAGGAACCAUUGCAUAUGCUGGAAAAUCAUUCACAGUCCACAUAACUGCUGCUCGCAAAGUGAACAUCCUCCCAGUUGAUUUAUCGUACGUGCGAACACCGUUUGUCCAUAAAUCCUUCAGCUCAUCAACCAGAGGCCUUAAGUACACAUCAAUUGACCUGCCAGGAUCCUCAGUUAUCAAAACAGUCAUCAUCAUGUAUUCUUUUUUCAUGCAUUUCCAAGGCGGCAAAUUAUAUGGGAAUGCGAAAAUCGGCCAAGUGCUGUGGUGUUGGUUUAGAACCCCAUACGGAUUGAAUCCGUCAGUGGCAAGUCCCAAUCUAACAUUUCGGGGAUCAGCAGCAAACUCGGGGAACGUUCGAUCGAACUCUUUCCAUGCCUCCCCAUCUGCAGGAUGCCGCAUCACAUCAUCGUCUACCCAUUUUUCCUUAUGCCAUCUCAUGUCUGUGGCAGUAUGCGUCGACAUAUACAAUCGCUGCAACCCAGGUUUAAGGGGCAGAUAACGCAUGACUUUUGGUGGUAUCUUAGUCGUUCUAUUCUGGGAUGUCAUUUUGAACCUCGACUCAUUGCAUAUAGGGCAUGUAUCCAACGUUUCAUGCUCUUUGUAGAAUCACAUGCAAUUGUUUUUGCAAACGUGGAUUUUUUCAUAACCCAAUCCAAGAUCAUGCAACACCUUCUGUGCAUGUUUAUGGUCUUUCGGCAAACAAGUGUCUGUCGGAAGCAUUCUCUUGAAAACCCCCAAAAAGUAAUUGAAACACAAGUUCGACAUACGAUACUUUAUUUUUCCGUGCAUUAGCUCCACAAUGGCAGUGAGAACGGAAAAGCUCUCGCACCCCGGGUAUAACUCUUGGUUGGCAUUUUUUAACAGUUUUUCAUACUGUUCAAACUCCGCACUGUCUAUUGGUGUAGGCACGUCAUCUUCCCCUUCCUGAUUGAUGUUGGUCGACGCGAAUGGAAAAGCAUCUUGUAUAAUACCCAUGACUUGAUCAUUAGGAUCCAUAAUAGGUUCAACAUUGUCCACUCUUGGGGCAUUUGAAGACAAAGCAUGCUCUACUUGUUCGCCGUGAAGGUUCCAAAUGCUAUAUGUUUCAAUCAUUCCAUUCCUUACUAAAUGAAAUCCAACAUUUUCAAUUGUCUCCCGCAACAUGUUGUUACACCUCCUACAAGGACAACGGAUUCUAGUUGCACCCGGGUUGUGUCUACGUGCAAACUCAAUAAAAUCCUCGAUUCCAUCCAAGUAUUCGUCUGCGCAUCUAUUCUGGUUCUGUAUCCACUUUCUGCUCAUAAUUCCUGAAAUCACAAUCACGACACAACAAUCACAACAACUUCAUACGAAGUUAUAAUGUCACCUUAUGCCUCCGGUAAGGGCCCUAUCCCAUUCCGGAAUGCAUAGUCCUGUCACGUAACCUACGGCUACAUGAGAUUAGAUUUCGACGUGGAUUAAUUUCGGCAGCAUCUCGACACAGUUCUUGAAGUGGGCAUAGGUAUAAAUACCUACGUACCACCCGAAGAACGUACCGAGAUGACACCGAAAUCUCCACAAUCGAAACCUAAUCCUGUAGCCGAAGAUUAUGUGACAACACUAUGCAUUACCAAACUGUCCAAAUAAUGGGACAAUUCAAGAAUUAAUUGGACCGCAGUCAUGCCUUACGCAUCCAUGCACGAAAUCCAACUAAUCUUGAACGGAAAACUACGUGUGACUAAACAUAAAAAUAAAAGUACAAAGUUAAUUUCAAUUAACUUCGUACAUCACAACACAUUGUGCUACGUCACGCACAAUUUCACAACAUUAUACACAUAUAACUUCACAAAAAAAUUACAAACAUAACAAACAAACUUUUACAAUAACAUACCUUCUCAAUCGUUCUCCACCAAUCACUAAUCACAAAUAUCCCUAACAAGAACAAAAUUAAUAGCGUUAGUACGAAUUUACAUUAAUACAUUUAAACUAACGACAAAAAAUACAUACCCAAUGAACGUACUGAAUUCACAGCAGAGCAGCGGCAGGGGGAGUGAGAGAGAGGCAGAAUGCAAUUUUUGCAUUCUGCCUCUGCAAUGGCAGAUACUAAUAUGAAGAAGAAGGACUUUGCGCGACGAACAACUAAAUUCGUCGCGCAAAAUGCCGUCGCAAAAACCCACUUUUUCGUCACACAAAACAACAUUUCCGUUGCGCAAUUACAUGUCGACAUCUGCUUUUUUGCGCGACGAACAAUAUGAUUUGUCGCACAAACUUUCGUCGCGCAAAUAAUAUUUUUCGUCGCGCAAAGUUUACAUUCCGUCGCGCAAAUUAUUCAUAUCGUCGCGCAAGAACGCACCGGCAUUAAACUGUACGCGACGAAGAAAAAUCCGUCGCGCAAAAAAAAUUUAUCCACCCUUCAUUUUGGCGCCAAAAAUAAUUAUCCCUCGUUUUCUUACGCGACGGUACAUUUUUUUCAUCGCGCUAAGUUUUCUUUUGAGACGAAAACUCUCGUCGCGCAAAUUUUUUUACCGCCAAAAAAAGGAGCCAAUUUUCUGUCCAUCUUUACGCGAUGAACGCUUAGAAUUGUCGCGCAAUAUUGUCAUGCGCGACGAUUUUUGUCGUCGCGCAAGAUUUUGGCGCAAAAAAAAAACCCGAGUUUUUAUCCACUACCUUUGCGCGACGAAAUUAAUUUAGGUCGCGCAUUGAUGGUUUGCGCGACGAACCUGUUUGUCGCGCUAGUUUUCUGUUGUUUGCGCGACGGAAUUUUUUUUCGUCUCAAUAGUUCUUUUUGCGCGACGAAAAAAUAUUCGUCGCGCAAAUAUUAAAUCGUAGUAGUGUGUGAAUGCCAUGGAUUUAGUUGAAUUAUGUAAGCAACAAUUCCAGAAGAUGAGGGAGAAUGGAUGAGAUUCUUUGUUGGAGGAAGUUUCUAUUUUUUGCAGGAAUCAAAGUAUUGAUGUUCCUAACAUGAUGAUAUGUUUCUAGCUCGAGGGAGGUCACGACGCAACGGUCCAAAAAUCACAAAUAUGCAUUAUUAUCGUGUUCAUUUUUUCUAUGAAGUGAUAGCUUUGCAACUCCAAGAGCUGAAUAGUCGUUUCAAUGAGGCCAACACUGAGUUGUUACUUUGCUUGGCAUGCUUGAGUCCAAAUGAUUCAUUUUCUUUUUUUGAUAAGCAAAAGCUCAUUCGGCUUGCUCAACUUUACCCGAAUGAUUUUUCUACACAAGAACUUGAGGUACUUAAAGAUCAACUUCAAACUUAUAUUGAUGAUAUGCAUUCCAACACCAACUUUUCAGAAUUACAAGGUAUUGCUAUUCUUGCAAAAAAAAAACUAGUUGAGACAAAAAAGGACAAGAGGCAUAUCCACAAGUUUAUCUUCUCAUAAAAUUGGCGUUAACACUUCCAGUUGCAACAGCUUCAGUAGAAAGGGCAUUCUCUGCUAUGAACAUUGUGAAGAACAGAAUGCGUAAUCGAAUGGGAGACGAAUGGAUGAAUGAUUGCAUGGUAGUAUAUCUUGAAAAAGACAUAUUUAAUAGUAUUGAUAAUGAGCUUAUUAUGCAACGUUCUCAGAAUAUGAAAAGUCAUCGAGGACAAUUGUAAAUUUACCUAUUAAACAAUGCUAUUAAUAUUCAAAGUUUGAAAUAUUUUUUGUUUGAUUAUAUAAUGGUUAAAUUUUUUUAAGCCCCCAGAUAAACGAAAGUCUGGGUCCGCCACUGGGCACCACUUGCGCCACCCCAGGGCCGCCAUCAACAAGAUGCUCAUCUUUAAGAUAUUUUCCAUUCAGAGUCUGCAUAGCCAUGACUUGCUGAAUAAGUCUUCACAUUGUUGUGUCCAACAAAGCCUGGCUCAUCAGACUUGAUUUCUUUAACCCCAAAACCCAUGGCUUUGGUCUCAGAAAAUUCCCAAAACAUAGUCCAACAACUCAAGUUUAAUGCAAAUGUUAGGUCUACAGCUACAUGUUACAAUGUAUAUAUCUAUCAUGUACCAUGUGUUUUAGUAGUCUAAAAGGUAUUUUGGGAAUUAGACGACAUAGAAGCACAAUGUCCUACCCUAAACCAAGAAAUGCAAAAACAAAAAAAACAUAAUGGAUAUCUAUCUUUACUUGUUUAUUUUACUAUAAUUUUUCAAGUACAUAGACAGAAUUUCUAGGGGGAGUAAAAACAUGCAUCUUUCUUUACACUAUAUCGGUAUUUAACAAUGUAUAGUGAAAUCUACUGAACGCGAUCAUGGGAAAGGGAUUUAAUAAACCCGUCUAAGCUGAUGACGUUCUCUCUCUUUAAAAACUGGGAGUACCAGUGAGCAGAGAGUUUGGGUUGUCUUCUUAAAUCGGGGUCAUCCAAAUCGAUGUAGUAGAGGCCGUAGCCCGAUUCAUAGCCGUCCAACAGCUCAAGGGAAUCCAAGAAGGACCAUAUAAAAUAGCCUCUGACGUUUGAUCCAUUCCUUCCAGAGUAAAUAUUUCAUAGCAUCCAUUAGUAAUUUAAACACAGGUAUUAUAUCUUUCCGCAUCUCAUAAACACCUUUAUUUGGACUUGGCCAGUUAGCCUUUACAAAAUGGAGAGAACAUGAUAAAUCAUAUAACUGUAGGCUUAAAUUAUAAUCGACAGAAAAUAGGUAUACCUUACAGCUUCAAGCAAAUUUUGGAUGUGUCCGUCCAAAUAUUUCACCCUUGGCCAAUCCUCUAAUGAUGAAUUGCGUCGAGUUCGUUGACCUAAGAUAUAUUGGAUGCCAGACUUUUUUUAGUAAAAUUUCACCAUUUUGAAGUGUUGAUGCGAAAAAGUGGUUCGGCACGUGUUUCGCCAACUUAGUGAUGUUAUGCCUGUAGUAGGUCACUGUCUUCGGAAGGUGUUCUACUUCGGAAGGGUAAGUACCUACAAAAGGACACGUUCGGUAAGUCCUUGGGGUAUCGGUAUGGUACCGGCCGAAGGCUCUCCGAUGCUUUAGUAAGUACGAUUUUAGUAAUGUUAACUGACAGAUCAAUCGGUAGCGUAUCGUUAGUUCGGAUUUUUUUCCUUUUGGGGAUAAGGGUCUCCUUAUAUAGGCCUUGGGAGGUGUGCACUGUGCUCAUAUUUCCGAUGUGGGACUGUGGACAUGGAUUGUGAGCAUGGCACGUGUCCGAUGGUAAAAAGGGCCAAGAUAGAUGGCUUCGGUAGGAAGCGUGCCGAAGGCGUUUCUGCAGCCAAAAUCGAUCCUGUCCACGUGUUCGGUUGUCAUAGGCCGUUUAUCUCCGGUAUAAACAGUAGUCCCCCAAGUUCUCUUCCGAAGGUCCUUUGGAAGGGAAUUUAGUUCUCUGCUGCGGUUCGGAGGUUGACCUGCCGUUCGGUAGGCUCGUUGGGGGAGAUUGACCUGGGACUCGAGGGGUCGUCGAUGCUGAGAGGCGAGAGGGCAGAGAGACGCUUCGUCUUCCGUGCCUGGCGUGCAGUCGGCGGCGCCAUUCGUCGGGUGACGCGUGGCCAACAAAAAGCACGUCUGACGGCGCAUUAAAGAGCCGUUUAUUUGUAAUAGUUGUAUUAGUUUUUUUUUUCUAUUUUUAUUUCAUGUACCGAACAUAUUGAUGCCGAGGGCAUCUUUAAUUCAAAUGCAUAUUUUUAUCUACUGUUGUUUGAACAAUCUGAACACGUUUUUAAAUUGCCGAUCGUACUUAUCGCCGAAAGGCUCCGUAUAGGAUUUAUAACAUUAAAGGGAUACUUCGAAAUUGAUAAGUUCCGAUGGAAUCUGUAGGGUAACAAUUUCGAAAAAUAUUUAUUGCCGUAGGCUAAUAAAUAUGCCGUAGAACGUUAACUUGCCACAUUGGCCGCCGUGGGCUAGUAGAGUAAUUUUAAAAAGAGCAUCUGAAGUAAUAGUGCCGAAGGCUUUCUAUUAAUUUCUGCCGAAGGGCAAAUACAUUUCAAUCAGUUACAACUUUGUCCUACCGUAGGCUAGGUUACUUGAAAUAGUAUUUGAGAUGUUCCACGUUCCAAGGAUGACCGAGGGUCUUGCCGUUGGAGUCUCUUAGGCGGUAGGUUCCCGAUCGAAGGAUACCGAUGAUCUCAUAGGGUCCUUCCCAGGAAGGUCCGAGGGUUCCUUCCGUGGCAUCCUUGGUUGCUAGGGAUACCUUCCGCAUGACCCAGUCUCCGAUUCGGAAUGAGCAGUGUCUGACCCUGGAGUCAUAAUACCGAGAGACACGUUGCUUGUAGGCUUCAUUUCGAAGGUUGGCAUGUGCCCGGUGCUCUUCAAGAAGGUCGACACUUAGAGAAAGUGCUUCUUCAUUCGGCUUCGGUGCGAAGUUUUUCGUUCGGUAGGAAGAUUCGCCAAUUUCCACAGGCACCACAGCUUCCGAACCGAAAGCCAAAGAGAAAGGGGUCUCUCCCGUGGACGUUCGGUAAGAUGUCCGAAUGGCCCAGAGUGCUUCGGGAAGCUUUUCUGGCUAGGCUCCUUUGGCUUUGUCCAGCUGCCGUUUCAGUAGUUUCUUGAUGAUUUUGUUUAUUGCUUCCACCUGACCGUUUGACUGGGGAUGGGCUGGUGAUGCGAAAAACAAGUUGAUUUUCAGGCAGGUGCAAAAUUGCCUGAAGAGUUCCGAAUCGAACUGCCUGCCGUUGUCGGUAAUGAUUUCAUACGGGAUACCGAACCUGCAACAAAUGUGAGUCCAGACGAAGUCUUCCACUCUUGCUGCCGUUAUGGUUGCCAGAGGUUCGGCUUCUACCCACUUGGUGAAAUAGUCGACGGCGACCACUGCGUAUUUCACCUGGCCUUUGCCCUGCGGCAUCGGACCAAUCAGGUCCAGUCCCCAUUAUGCGAAAGGCCAAGGACUCACGAUCGGUGUCAGAGGUUCGGCAGGGAUGUGCGGUAUGCUACCGAAACGCUGGCAUUUAUCACACUUUUUCACUAGCGAAUUAGCAUCCUGGUGCAUGGUCGGCCAAAAGUAUCCCUGUCGAAAGGCUUUGUGGGCGAGUGACCGGGACCCGGAAUGAUUGCCGCACACACCGUUAUGGAUCUCCCGAAGGACGUAGUCCCCCUGUUCUGCCGUAAGGCAUUUGAGAUAUGGAGUUGUGUAGCCACGUUUGUACAGGACGUCGUUGAUGACGGUGUACCUUGCUGAUCGGUACCUAAGCUUUCGGGCCUGGGCCUUGUCUUCUGGAAGGGUGCCGUUGGUCAAGUACGAGUAGAUAGGAGACAUCCAUGUAUCUUCGUACCGUACGGUACAUGUUUCGGCGGCUACCGUGCUUGGUUGGGCAAGAAUCUCCACUGGCACCUUUCUUCCGAUUUUGUCGUUGAUUGCCGAAGCCAGACGUGCCAAUGCAUCGGCAUGGCUAUUUUUGCUCCUGGGGAUCUGCUUGAUCUUGUAAGCUCGGAAGCUUUGGAGCAGCUGAUGGGUAGACGAAAGGUAGGCGUGCAUGGAGGCGUUUCUGGCCGCGAAGUCUGCCGUUACCUGGUUCACAAUGAGCUGGGAGUCGCUGUGAAUUCUGAUUUGUUUGGCAUUCAUGCUCUUGGCUAACCGAAGGCCGGCCAAGAGAGCCUCAUAUUCCGCUUCAUUGUUGGAGGUUCGGAAGUCGAAUUGGAGGGCGUACUCGAUCUUGAGUCCGUCCGGUGUCGUCAGUACCAAGCCUGCUCCGCACCCUUGUUGGUUUGCCGAGCCGUCGACGUGCAGACUCCAUACGGGAGUUGAGGCGUCAAAGUGUUCGGUGUCAAGUUCCUCCGGCAACCCGGUCUCGGGUAUCUCCUGUGCUGUUGAUGGGGUGAGCUCGGAGAUGAAAUCGGCAAUGGCUUGACCCUUUUCGGCGGGCCUUGGCAUGAAUUGUAUAUCGAACUAUCCGAGUUCGAUCGCCCACUUGAUCAAUCGGCCAGAAGUCUCUGGUUUUUGGAGCACCUGCCGGAGCGGUUGGUUAGUCAGAACUUUGAUCCCGUGUGUUUGGAAGUAUGGCCGAAGUCUUCGUGCCGAGACCACCAGGGCUAGUGCAAGCUGCUCUAAUGGGGGAUACCGAAGUUCAGCACUCUGGAGUGCCUUACUGACAUAGAAAAUCGGUAGCUCUGCUUUUUCUGGUUUUCGAAUCAACACCGAACUGACAGCAGUGCUAGAUACCGAAAGGUAUAGGGAGAAAAUCUCCCCAGGUAGUGGUUUUGAUAAAAGGGGUGCUUUACCCAUGUAGUCCUUUAAGUCUUGAAACGCUUUAUCACAUUCGGCAGUCCAUAUGAUAUUCCGUUUGCCCCCUUUCAAGGCUUUAAAGAAUGGUACACAUUUGUCGGUGGCCUUGGAUAUGAAGCGAGUCAAGGCCGCCAUGCGUCCGGUAAGGCUUUGAAUGUCCUUCGUCGUCUUCGGCCUCUCCAUGUCGAUGAUUGCCUUUAUUUUUUCGAGAUUCGCUUCGAUACCCCUGUGACUAAUCAUGAAUCCGAGGACUUUCCCGGAAGAUACACCGAAGGCGUAUUUCAUCGGGGUCAGCCUCAUCCGGUAGUCUUUCAGUAUGCCGAACAUGAUUGACAAAUUGUGCAGAUGUUCUUUGGCAGUUCUGCUCUUGACCAACAUGUCAUCGACGUAAACCUCCAUGAUGCUGCCGAUGUAUUUGGCAAAAAUUCUGUUGACAAGCCUUUGAUAUGUUGCCCUCGCGUUCUUCAGGCCGAACGUCAUGACAUUGUAACAGUACAACCCUCUGUCUGUUAUGAAGGCGGUUUGUUCGCUGUCGGAAGGGUGCAUGAAUAUCUGAUUAUAUCCCGAAUAGGCAUCCAUGAAGCUGAGCAGUUCGUGUCCGGCGGUGGCGUCCACGAGCUGGUCUAUCCGUGGCAACGGAAAGCUGUCCUUUGGGCAGGCCUUGUUCAGAUCAGUAUAGUCUUGGCACAUUCGCCACCCGCUUGUAGCCUUCCGGACCAUCACUGAAUUUGCCAGCCAUACCGGAUACGUAGCCUCCCUGAUGAAGCCGAUGGUUUGAAGUUUGUCAACCUCCUUACGCAUGGCUUCGUAUCGCUCGGUAUCGUACGAACGGCGCUUCUGUCUUACAGGCUUAUAAGCGGGAGAGAUGCUGAGUUUAUGGCUGAUGACCUCUGGAGCGAUGCCGGGCAUGUCUUCGUAGGACCAUGCGAAUACUUCCGAAUGGUUCCGCAAGAAAUUUAUGAAUUACGUUCGGAGGGCAGGAGUGAGUCUGGUGCCGAUUCUAACCUGACGAUCGGGCUGCCCCUCGCUCAAGGUUAUCGUCUCCAGUUCUUCGGCGGGUUGUGUGUGAGGAGUCGGGGACUCAUCUCUUGGGUCGUCAACUGGUCCUGUACCGUUCGGUACCCCUUGGAUAGACAUGGUUUCGUCGGGGAGUUGGAAAGAGGUUGACUUUAGGGCCGUGGCGUAGCAAGUCCGCGCGCUUAGCUGAUUUCCCCGGACAGCCCUUGUGCCGUUAGGGGUCGGGAACUUCAUCAAUAGCAUGUGGGGGGAAAGAUGUGCCUUGAUCCUGGUGAGUGCCGUUCGUCGAACUAUAACGUUGUACGCUGUCGGGCAAUCAACGAUCAGGAACUGAUCGUAUACCGUCGUUUUUCUUGGCGCGGUGCCGAAGGUAAUUGGUAGUUUUACACUACCGACCAGUUGGACCAGGUCCCCAGAGAAACUUAACAAAGGCGUCAACUGCCGGUUGACCUGGCUGUCCUUUAUCCCCAUUUCUCGGAAAGCUUCGGCAAAUAUCACGCUCACGGAGCUUCCGAUAUCGAUCAGUACCCAUCCUACAUCGUAGUCGGCAAUUUCUGCUCGAAUGAUCAUCGAGUCGUCAUGGGGAUAGAGGAUGCCCUCUUCCUCCUCUUCGCAAAAUGUGAUUGGUUCCCAAUGAACUUUCGGUAUUUCAGGGUGCCGAUUCACCUCUAUGCCGAAUACUUGCGGAAAUUGUGCGGCGCGCACGUAUUCUUCAUUGAAUGGUUGCUCAUUCCUGCGAUGGUGGGGCCACCGCUGAUAGUGCUUAUCAUGUUUAUCUGCCGAAUUGGAUUCGGCAUCGGCGCCGGUGGCUGCCGGGCGAUGUACUGAUCUAGCUUCCCCUCUCUGAUCAACCGUUCGACAAUCUUUCUUAGGCUUAUACAGUCUUCCGUAUUAUGACUGUUGUGCUGAUGGUAUCGGCAGAAUUUACCGGUAUCCCGGUUGUCUUGCCGAUUGGGUCUUCGCAGAUUGGGCUUUGGUAUUAUUUUUUGUUCGUUCAUCAGAACGGCCUCGUAGGUAGUGUUUAAUAGGGUAAAGACUUGGUUGCCGUGGUCAUGAUUCGGCAGGGGCGCCCGGUUGUCGUUGCGUCCAUAUCUCCCCUUUUCCUUCUUCGGGUGUUCUCUUCGAUCGGCACGGUCGUCUUUCCUCUUAUGACCUGCCAAAUAUGGGUCGACUCUCUCGUAGGGUGGCGCCUUCGCCGGAUAAGCACUUGGUUCAGUAUCCCCUUGCCGUGCCGAAACCCCGGGUUUCGAGUUGAAGUAUUCGGCUUUGGCAUGGAUUGCUGCCUGCUUCAUCAGUUCGUCGUACGUGCGCCAGUUGCUGCUGUGUACUAGGUAUCGGAAAUGCGAGGACCGAAGGCCACUCUUGAAGGCGCUGUACGCUGGCCUAUCGUCUGUUUCUGGACACCCUGAGUAUUCGUGGCUGAAGCGCGCCGCGUAUUCUCUCAACGGUUCAUCCUCUCUUUGUCGAAUCGUGUACAGAUCAUCGGCAGAGUAAAGACGGUCCGUCUGGAUCAUGAAGUGAUUGAGGAAAAUCUGCUUCAGCUCGUCGAAAAAGUCUACUGUCUCCGGCUCCAACUGGUAGAACCAGUUCAGGGCUGCUCCGGUAAGGGAAGACGGGAAUAGCAGGCACUGCGCUUCAUCGCUCAGGCCCUUGCAUCCAAUGGUGGACUGAAAUGAGUGGAGGUGUGUUAAGGGGUCCUCCGUUCCCGUAUAGAACGGUAUACGCAGUUGCUGCACUUCCCUAUCCUGCCGAGAGUCCCGGAUACGCCUGGUGAAUGGUCCGGGCCGAAGCUUUCCCCAUUCCGGUUCUUGGGAACGAGCUUUGUCAUUUUCCAUUUUCUGGACUUUCUGAAAAAGUAGUCGGACAACAGGGUCUCGGCUAGGGAUUUCCUCGGAACCAUAAUCUUCCGAUCGUCUUUCUAGACUUAAUGAAUUAACCCCCGAGUACCGUGAAGGCGUUGCCGAACGGUACGUGGACGUUUGCGUCCUGGAAGGGAUAUAUUCGGAUUCUGACUCCUCUGCGGUGUCCAGCCCUCUGACCUUCCGAAUAGGCGACUUGUCUCCUAGGAUUUUCUUCCGUGAGUCCCUCUGUCGAGCGCUAAUCCUGAUCGGAGACCUCCGUCUCUCUGCCUCCCGAUCGUUAAUCCGAUGUCGACAAUCGGAAUAUACUUUCUUUGGGACGUGUGGCUGAUCCCUGGGUGCCGGGACCACCAGCUGUUUGGAAGGUGCGGGCGUUGCCUUCGCUACCUUAUCGUGUUUCUUCUUCCUAUGAUGGGUCUAAAAGCUCUCGAAAGAGUGAGUUGUCUGGAUGUUUAGCGUGUGCUGCUGGUGGAGCAGCUGCUGGGUUUCGUCCACUUUGGACGAAAGAAGGUUGUUGUGUUCCUGAAGCCUUGCCAUGUCCUUCCGUAGGGACGCGAUUUGGGCUACCAGCUCGGCUUCGGCGGUUGUUUGGGUUGCGGGGGCGUUUCCGAAGGGAGUGCAUGGGGGUAGCGCUGGGCUAGCUCCGCUCUGCCUUCCGAACGGUACCCCUUCUUCCGAUAAGAACAUGGGUACUGAAGUGGUCCCCAUGUAUUUUGGAGAUAGUGGGUUGAUGAUUUUUCUGGAUUCCCACAGACGGCGCCAAACUGUUGAUGCGAAAAAGUGGUUCGGCACGUGUUUCGCCAACUUAGUGAUGUUAUGCCUUCGGUAGGUCACUGUCUUCGGAAGGUGUUCUACUUCGGAAGGGUAAGUACCUACAAAAGGACACGUUCGGUAAGUCCUUGGGGUACCGGUGUGGUACCGGCCGAAGGCUCUCUGAUGCUUUAGUAAGUACGGUUUUAGUAAUGUUAACUGACAGAUCAAUCGGUAACGUACCGUUAGUUCUGAUUUUUUCCUUUUGGGGAUAAUGGUCUCCUUAUAUAGGCCUUGGGAGGUGUGCACUGUGCUCAUAUUUCCGAUGUGAGACUAUGGACAUGGAUUGUGAGCAUGACACGUGUCCGAUGGUAAAAAGGCCCAAGAUAGAUGGCUUCGGUAGGAAGCAUGCCGAAGGCGUUUCUGCAGCCAAAAUCGAUCCUAUCCACGUGUUCGGUUGUCAUAGGCCGUUUAUCUCCGGUAUAAACAUGAAGAAUUUAUUUGUUUUGUCUUUUUGCUGCGUUAUGUUUUCUCACAUUAUAUAUGUCUUCAUAUAAAUGCAUUCUAGCAGUACUUUGAUUAAAAUUCACUAUUUAAGAGAGAGAGAGAGAGAGAGAGAGAGAGAGAGAGAGAGAGAGACCAUUUUCUUGGAUAUAUAUUGGAGGAUUUCCAUAGUUUUGCUUGACAUAUUCCAGCAGUCGUUGCAGGCCCCAGGGAGUUAUUGGAAACUGAAAUCAAAGAAACCGAUCAGUAUUAAGGCUCUGAAAUUAACCCCAUAAGCAGUGAAUUGAUUACGUUCAAGCUUCUACCUCAAAUGUUGUAUCAUUUUGUAGACCUGCACGGGAAAUUUAAGAAAGUUUGUAUCACAUGAACAGUGCACAAAUAUUCCUUGCGCAAUGAACAAAAGAAAAAAAUUGAACAAUGCACAAACAACCAUCACAAACACAAAAAAUGAACAUUGUGAUUUCCAAAUAUCUUCAUAGAGGCUAAUUUUGUUUAUGAUAUGCUUUAGCAUAUUUCGGUCAUUCAUAUCAUAUUUGGGACUACACACCUCUUGUCUAUGCAGUGUCUGCUUGAAAUGCUGAGUUUUCUACGGUUUGCGCUGUACUUUUAUUUUUAGUAACAAAGGAAAAGGAAAAGAAAAAGAAAAAGAAAAAGGCAUCAGCAUGGUACAGAAAAUUCACAAAUUUGAACAGAAAAAGGCAUCUGUAUACAUACUACAUCAGUUUUCUCCCUGCACAACAUGCAUCCUUUAAAGAAAGGACAUCCCAGUAAAAUAUUUCUAACAUAAUAUCUCUUUAAUUUUUUUUAUCAACGCUACUGGAGCAUUGUAGGGGACAAGGUGUCACGCAAGUGCUUGCAGAUAUUGAAUGGAGAAAUGUAAGUGGUGAGUUGAUAAGAAUGUAAUUAGGCCUCUAAGCUAAAUGGUGUAUUCACUUUGUCACUAAGAUAGACAAGUGUUAGGCGUUAGUCAUGUUAAGUGGUUAUAGCCACGUGUAAAAAUCCUAGAGAGCAGUUUUGGAUGUAAGGCUGUGAUUCUCAGUGAUGUAAGAGAAUCCAACUAUUCUUUCAUACGGUUAUAGCUCACACUGAGCUUGCUCUAUUGAGUACAGAGUAUGCAAUAGAAAAAUACACACUUGUUUUGAUUCAGUCAAGCUCACUACUCUCUCUGUGUUUUCCUUCCUCCUUCAAUCUAUUCAAAACUCUAACAUGGCCUCAGAGCCAGGUUGGGUCUUUUGAUCUGGGCGUAAUCUGUGAGGUCACUGAGCUCAAUCGAAGCUCAGCUAAGCAUCUGAGAAGAGAAAUUGUUUGAUUCAGACCAAAAGAUGGCUGGAUCUGGAAGUUCAGAAGUAAGAACUCCGAUCUUCUCCGGUGAGAACUACGAGUUCUGCAGGAUUAAGAUGGUGACGAUCUUCAAAUCUCUUGGGCUAUGGAGUCUGGUAGAAAAGGGGAUUUCAACCCCUGAUUCGAAGAAGAAGAUGACAAAAGUUGAAGAAUCAUCAGAAGAAGAAGUUGAUGCAGAAAUGUUUGCUGUGCUCAUUAAGGACCCAAAGGCUCUGGGCAUUAUACAAAACGCAGUUUCUGACCAGAUCUUCCCUCGGAUUGCAAAUGCCAACUCAUCUAAAAUGGCAUGGAAUCUACUCUACAGUGAUUACCACGGUGGUGAUCAGGUCAGAUCUGUAAAACUUCUGAAUCUCAAACAGGAAUUUGAGAAUAUGAGAAUGCGUGAAGGUGAACAACUAACUGCAUAUCUUACUCAAUUAAAUGAAUUGAUAAAUCAAAUGAAAACGUUUGGAGAAGUGUUAUCAAAUGAGAGGCUGGUUCAAAAGUUGUUAAUCAGUUUUAGUAGAGUGUAUGAUCCCAUCUGUUUGGUGAUCGAAAAUACAAAGAGUUUGGAGACUAUUGAAUUGCAGGAGGUUAUUGCAAUAUUGAAGAGUCAAGAGCAAUGUUUUGACAUGCAUAAUGUGGACAUAGCUGAGAAGGCAUUUGGCUCUUUCUCAGUCGAUACAAAGGGCAGAACAAGAAUAAUACUCAAACUGAUUCUACUAAGUCUUAGAAGAAUUGGAAGUCUAACAACAAACCAUGGGAGUCUAAACAGAAGCCACAACAAGCUGGUGCUACACAGACCUCAAAUGGAUCACAAUAUGUGCAUCAAGAUGGAGAGAAGCCUCAAUGCAAAGUAUGCUCUAAAUUUCAUUUUGGAGAAUGUAGAUAUAAGGGCCAAUCUAAGUGCUAUAAGUGUGAUAGGUUUGGACAUUGGGCUAGGGACUGUACUGCAAACAAAGGAGUGUAGAAAGCAAAUAAUGCAAGUCAAGUAGAAGUAAUAGGGAAUCUGUUUUUUGCAAACUGUCAAUUUCAGAGAAGAGUGCAAAUAGAGAAUGGUAUGUAGACAGUGGUUGCAGUAACCAUAUGACUGGGAACAAGGAGCUGUUAAUUGACAUAAAUUCAAGUGUCACAGGCAAGGUGCAAAUGCCAACAUGAGAGCUUGUAAGUAUAGCUGGCAUGGGUACUUUAGUGCUUGACACAAGCUCUAGUACAAAGUAUAUCAGAGAAGUCAUGUAUCUACCUGGUUUGAAGGAAAAUCUGUUGAGUGUAGGCCAAAUGGAUGAACAUGGUUAUCAUUUGGUAUUUGGAAGCAGCAUGUGCAGUAUCUAUGAUGGUUCUUCUCUCAAGAAUCUCAUCAUGAAGGUGGAAAUGAGGAAAAAUAGGUGUUAUCCAUUAUCAUUGCCCUCAAAUGACUAUGUUGCACUAAGAGCUAGUAUAUCCAAUUCUACCUGGAUUUGGCAUAAAAGAAUGGGCCAUUUGCAUCUGAAAGGUCUACAUCAGCUUAAGGAGAAAGAGAUGGUACAUGGUUUGCCAUACUUGGAGGAUGUAAAUGAAGUGUGUGGAGUCUAUCAACUGGGAAAGCAACACAGAGAGUGGUUCCCUAAGGAUCAAGCAUGGAGAGCAAGUACACCCCUUGAGCUUAUACACGUGGACUUGUGUGGACCAAUGCAAAAUGAGUCUCUAGCAGGUAAUAAAUAUUUUAUGCUGCUCAUAGACGAUUUUACAAGGAUGAUUUGGGUCUACUUCUUAAGAUACAAGUCGGAUGCAUUAAACUGUUUUCGAAAAUUCAAGUCUAUGGUGGAGUUGCAGAGUGGUUACAAAGUGAAAUGUGUUCGAAGUGAAGAGGGGGUGAGUUCACAUCUAGUGAAUUCAAUAAACUAUGUGAAGAUGCAGGAAUUCAAAGACAGUUCUCCAUGGCUUACACACCCCAGCAGAAUGGAGUGGUAGAAAGGAAGAAUAGGAUAGUGGUAGAGAUGGCUAAGGCUAUGUUACAUGAGAAGGCGUUGCCUUAUUACUUAUGGGUAGAAGCUGUACACACUGCAGUGUACAUUUUAAACAGGUGUCCUACUAAGGCUCUUAUAAACAAGACCCAUUUUGAAGCAUAUAGCACAAGAAAACCAGGUGUUGCUCAUUUGAAGGUAUUUGGUAGUGUGUGCUUUGUGCAUAAACCAGAAGAAAGUAGAGAGAAAUUGGAUGCCAAAAGCACAAGGGGAGUGUUUGUUGGAUAUGCAACAUGUGAGAAGGGUUAUAGAGUGUUUGAUCCUGUCACUAGAAAACUACUACUGUCAAGAGCCAUUGUAUUUGAUGAAGGAGCAAUAUGGAAUUGGAAGGAAGCAACUGAAAAUUCUGUGGUGAUGGUGAAUGAUGAAGAGCAGCCUAGGAAUUCUCAAGUGAAAUUGUUUGAAACACCUGUAGGAAAUCGAAAUUCUGGUUUCAUAUCUAUAGACUCAGUCUCCUAUGAAGAAUCAAGCAAGGCAAGCAGCAAAUUGGAAGACACUCAGAACUUCGAUCAUACUUCAUUGAAAUGAAGGAAGUUGGAUGAUAUCUUAGCACAAUGCAAUCUGUGCACAAUAGAGCCUGAGAAGUUUGAAGAAGCUGUGAAGGAUGAGUCAUGGAUGAAGGCAAUGAAAGAUGAGUUGAACAUGAUAGAAAAGAAUGAUACAUGGGAACUUGUUGACAGAUCUAUGGAUAAACCAGUGAUUGGAGUUAAAUGGGUGUUUAAAACUAAGCUAAAUCUGGACGGUUCAGUGCAGAAGAAUAAGGCAAGACUGGUGGCUAAGGGAUACUCACAAAAACCAGGGGUGGACUAAAAUGAAACAUUCGCACCAGUGGCUAGAUUAGACACAAAGUGGCAGCUGUAUCAAUUAGAUGUUAAGUCAGCUUUUCUAAAUGGCAUCUUAGAGGAAGAAGUGUAUGUAGAUCAGCCAGAGGGAUUUGUAGUGAAGGGUAGUGCAAGCAAGGUUUACAAGCUGCACAAAGCUCUAUAUGGCUUGAAACAGGCGCCAAGAGCUUGGUAUAGUGAAAUUGAUGGUUAUUUUGUUGAGUGUGGUUUCACAAAGAGCCAAAGUGAGGCUACUCUUUAUGUCAAAGCAAGAGGUGAAGCGAGCAUCUUGAUAGUAUCCAUUUAUGUAGAUGAUAUAGUCUACACUGGAAAUGAUCAAGAAAUGUUAGAAGACUUUAAGAAGGACAUGAAGGAGAAAUAUGAAAUGACUGAUCUGGGGCUCUUGCAUCAUUUCUUGGGAAUGGGUGUAAUUCAAACACCAACAAGCAUAUUCAUUCAUCAGAAGAAAUAUGCAACAAUUCUGUUAAGCAGAUUUGGUUUGAAUGAGUGUAAGCCGGUAGGGCAAUACAGAAGGAUUGUUGGAAGUCUGCUGUACCUCAAAGCUAUUAGACCCGACAUUAUGUUUGCAGCUAGUUUGCUUGCAAGGUUCAUGCAUUGUCCCACUAGCAAACAUCUUGGAACAGCAAAACGUGUUCUUAGAUAUGUAAAAGGAACUCUAGAUUAUGGUCUGGAGUAUGUGAAAGGAAAAGAGGCAGUCCUAAUUGGCUAUUGUGACAGUGAUUGGAGUGGUUCAGUGGAUGAUAGCAAGAGCACCUCUGGAUAUUCCUUUUCUUUUGGUAGUGGAGUGUUUGCUUGGGCCUCAGUCAAGCAAAAUUGUGUUGCACUCUCUACUGCAGAAGCGGAAUACAUCAGUGCCUUGGAGAACUUCAAACCGAAGCUACACCUUUACAUUGUGACAACAUUUCAGCUAUUGCCAUUACAAGGAAUCCUGUGUUUCAUCAGAAAACCAAGCAUAUCGAUCGAAGGUAUCAUUUUAUUAAAGAUGCUUUGCAAGAAGUAACUGUGGAUCUGAUUUAUUGUCCCACAAAUGAGCAGUUGGCAGAUAUCUUUACAAAGGCUUUGGCUAAGGAUCAUUUCUGCUAUCUCAGAGAGAAACUUGGUGUGAAAUCAGCUCACAACUUAAAGGGGAGUGUUGAAAUGUAAGUGGUGAGCUGAUAAGAAUGUAAUUAGGCCUCUAAGCUAAAUGGUGUAUUCACUUUGUCGCUAAGAUAGACAAGUGUUAGGCGUUAGUCAUGUUGAGUGGUUAUAGCCACGUGUAAAAAUCCUGGAGAGCAGUUUUGGAUGUAAGGCUGUGAUUCUCAGUGAUGUAAGAGAAUCCAGCUAUUCUUUCAUACGGUUAUAGCUCACAGCUCACACUGAGCUUGCUCUUUUGAGUACAGAGCAUGCAAUAGAAAAAUACACACUUGUGUUUUCCUUCCUACUUCAAUCUAUUCAAAACUCUAACACAGACACCCUCUAGAGUGACUGAAUUUAGACCAAAAAGCCUAUGUACAGCGAUUUACAAAAUUAUUGCAAAGGCUUUUGCAAAUAGACUCAAGUAAUUAAAGCGGUGGCUCCAGUUCUUCGUACAUAUACGAUGGAGUGUUCCAAUUGCCCCACAGUUUAUGUGUUAUCUGCAAUGAUUGCUAGGUUUUGGUGGGAAAAACAUGCUUUACACGCUUUAUGGAAUUGUAAACGAAGCAGGAAAUUAUGGAGCCUAACAUCGUUAAAACUUGGUAUUGGUGGAGCACGGGUAACUUUUGCAGAUUUUUCAGAGGUGGCUAUGCAUUCUUUGGCCCCGGUGGAGAUGGAUCAGUUUGCCUGUUGCGAGCAUGGAAAUUAAGGAAUGAUGAGCUCUAUGGAAAGCAGGGAUGUAAUUUUGUUGACCCGGUGGUGGUAGAGACUUCAGAUUACUUAGAACAAUUCAUGUAACAUUCAAUGCGCGUCAAAACCACCCCAAGUGGAGUGAUGGCGCUGGAUCAAAGCACCACCACAAUUCUUGCUAAUGUAUUGUGAUGGCACUACUGGCAAGGGAGGCAGAAGGCGAGGCCUAGGGGGGUUGGUGUGUGAUUCUGAAGGAAUCUUUAAAUGGGGUUUUGCUUGUGGGGGACCAGCCUGAGGUGGUGGUGGAUACUGAAUUGGCUGCUCUACGGAUUGGCUUGCAGCAUACGGUAGCAAGGGGUUGACAGGUCUUUUCAUAUUUACAGACUCACAAGAAGUGGUGAAUUUAUUGAAGGGAGAAGGAGAGUUGUGGUGCAACUUGGGGAAUCCAGUUGAGGAUGUAAAAUUUUCUUGGGAAAUAGCCCUAAAUGACACCCAUUUCAUAAUUUUAAUUAAAAAUACCAUCCUUUCCCAAUUUUUGUACAACUAUCACCUAUAAAUAUAAAAUUAUUGCCCACUUAUUGCUGAUUUUUCACAAGUUCAGAAAUUUUGGAGAGAAGAAGCUCACACAGCUCUCUCUCUCUCUCUCUCUGGCACAGCUCUCUUUCUCUUUGGUAUCUGUCUAUCACAGCUCUCUGUGUCUCUCUUGGCUCUCUCUAUCUUGGCUCUCUCUCUCUUGGCUCUCUCUCUGUCUCUCUAGCACAACUCUCUGUCUCUCUCUUUGCUCUGUUUCUCAUAGCGCAGCUGUCUCUCUCUAGCUUCGUUAUGUCCCUUUCUCCCCUAUUCGAUCUCUUGCUCUCUGUUUGGAAUCGCGAACCCCUCCCUUUAGCUAUGUCUUCUGAAUAGCUGCUUGCAACCUUGAAGCUCUACUGGAUUGCCGACCUCGAAAAGGUAGUGUUGAUGGUUAUUUUCUUAAUAUCAGUAUUAUGUGAAAUGGGUUAUAGUUUGAUUGUUUGGGUCUGUGUUAAAUUCGUUUUGGCUUUAAUUUAUUUGGGUUAGGUUUUGUUGAAUAUUCAUGCUCAUUCAUCUGGGUUUGUACCAAUUGCAUUUAGAUUGGUCUGGAUAUGUGAAUCUUGAAACUUGGGAAUUUCUAUUUGAUGUAGUAGAUCUGUAUAGUGUGAUUCUGAUGUGUUCCUCUUAUUUUACAGUCGUAUUGCUGUUAUAUUGCCAUUAUAUUGCCUAUAUAUUGCUGUUAUAUUGUGGUUAUAUUGCUAUUGUAUUGUAUGGUUAUUGUGGUUAUAUUGUGUGAAUGAAAUGUUGUUUUGUCAUGGUCAGAAAUGGAGACAAUUGUUAUUCUCGUGUGCUACAAUGGAAAAUGGGUCACCUCGAAGAAGAUGUGCAAAUACGAAGGGGGUGACUCAAAAGGCUUAAUAGUUCCACGGACCAUCAAUUUUGCUGAACUGUUGGACCGUGUGCAUCAGAUUGGUAAUACAAACAGCAGGGAAGACAAGGUUUGCUUAAAAUUCUCAGUUUUGGUGGCCUCGAAUGAGUGGAAGUGCAUAAAGAUUGAGGACGAUGAUGAUGUCAAUUUUUUUAUGAAGUACAAUUCCGAGGUAACACCUUCAAAACUAGCUCCCUUACUCAUGAGUAUAGAAGAUAAAGGACUGACAAAUGAUGUAGUUCAUAGUAUGCAUAUCACGACAGAUAGUAGUCGGAUGGGUCAUUCUUCAGUUGCCAUUGUUGAAAGCAAUGAAGUAACUUGGAAUAAUACAAAUGUCACUGAUUUGGGAGGUGAAGUAGGGACAGAUUUUAUGGAUAUGAUUGAUUUUAGCGAGGUGGAGGAGAUGCAUGGUGGUGAUAAUGGUACUGAAAGAAAUGAAGUGUAAGUGUACUCUGCCCCUCCUAAUUUGGGGUGCUUGAACACAGCUGCCCAGUUGCCAAAAAUACGUUUAGGAGGAGAAUCUGAACCCACUCGUCAACAUUAUUUUUGCCCAGUUGCCAAAAAUACAUAGAGAUACAAUUUUAUUGUUGUUAAUGUCAUGUUGUACUGCUGUAACUUACAGCCAAGGAGUUAAUGGUGUAGUUUUGAAUCCCAUCAAUUUAAUGCACCAACACAAAACCCAAUUUACCUCAUAUAAGUUCGUACAUAUAACUGAACCUUCCUAUAUAGAACUGCAACAGAGGCACCUUCUUAACGGGAAAGGUAAUUAGUCUUACUGAAAGGCAAAUAUUCUCCACUCAACCUAACCAUAUAGUCGUUUACAACUGGAGACUGAAUGUACCUCUAUUUGUUUGGUUGCAGGCAACAGCUGUGAAUUGUCCCCAGUAAUACUUCAACAUGUCAGAUGUACGCCCUCCUAACGAGCAUGUGAGUUACCCGGGGGACCAGCCCUGGCAUGUGCCAUUCCCAUCUCCACCUCGGACUCCCAAUCAUGAUCCCACUUCAUCUGGAAGUGAGGCUGACACUCAUGAUCCGCUUGACAAAAUCUCCGCCGUCAAGCACCACCUCCAAUAUAUGUCAAAGGCAACGGAUUGGUGGGAGAGUAAGUGCGAUAUUCAUGGCCAAGUUAUGGGAAACUUGGCCAACAAGUUGAACAAAGCAUACGCUGGAGAGGUGAAGCAAGCUCUUAAAGCAAAAAGUCGGAGCAAAGAGUUAGAGUCCUUGAAGUUGAAAUUGGAAGACACAAAGAAAAAUGCCCUCGAAACAUUCACACAAUCUGAAGAAUAUAACCAUGAAAUGGUUGAAUGUUUCAACAACGGCUUCGAAAUGUUCCGAGAUUAUGCUUCGGUCAUCUCACCAGACCACAAUUGGAGUGAAAUUGAUGUAGCUGGUGUCUGGCAGGUACUAAAUAUGGGUUUUGAUGGAAUGGCUCAUCAUAGCCUCGUGCAUGCAGCGAGAAGAAAGGACAAAGACAUGGAUCUUUUGAUGGACCUGUAGUAACGGUGAAUGCUGCUUCAGUUCAUCUCACCCGAGUACAUGGAUCUUUUGUUGCCUUCAUUUUCCCUUCGUGGGAUAGAUAGUAUUGUUCAGUUUGGGAGGCGAUUUCUUUCGCAUGUGUGAAAUGUUGUCUGUAAUGUGUAUGUAUUGUAUGUACAUUGACUUAAUAUUGCAUUUGUAUUGUGUUUGUAUUCCCUUAAUACUGUAAUGUGUAUGUAUUAUAUGUAUAUUGCCCUAAUAUUGCCUUUAUAUUGUACUUAUAUUGCUCUACUAUUGCCUUCGUAUUGUAUAUUUAUUGUGGCCAUAUUGCCCUACUAUUGCCUUCGUAUUGUAUAUUUAUUGUGGUCAUAUUGCCUUCGUAUUGCCUUCGUAUUGCCUUUGUAUUGUAGGCAUAUUGCCCUACUUUGGAAUAUGAUGAGGUCAAGAGGCGUCCCAUGCUUGUAUGCAACCCUCACAGCUUCAUCCUCGUUCAGCCUCGCUUGUGAAGUCCCAGACUUCAUGUCAUCUUUGCUAUUUGCCAAUUUCAGUUGCAUCAGCUGGCCGUGUCUAGGGUUUUUUAUCUGCUUUCGUUUCAUUUUUAAGCUCUGCUUUGAAUCAAUACGUGGCAUAUUGGCUGAAUAUGGGAGUGACAAGAUCAAUUCUUACUCUCCCUAAGUGGAUAAAAUAGAUGCUCAAUAUGAAUCCUUUCCUCCACAAGUUUGUGUACAGUGCCGUACGUUGUGUGUUUUAGGUGCCACACUGGCUUAUUAAAAUUGAUGCUUGGCCAUGAAAAACUUUUUGUUUUCUUACUUUUAGAAAAGUACAUAUUUGUGUCAAUAACUAAGUUUGGACUGUUAACAAUCAUUCAGAAGAAUGGUAGAAAUAAGCUCCACUGUGCCAAUCCACGAAGUUGAACAAAGAAAUUGUGUUCGAUACACAGAUGACAUGUGAAACUAACAUUAGCAUUCUCCAAUAAGAAGACUUCUCUUCUUUCCACCUCGUCGAUUGAGAAAGAAAGAAGAGGGACAAAACACACACUACCAAGUUAAGGUGACAUUACAAACCUAAAAAAUAUCCUCAUCAAACUUAUAAUGCUCCUUUUUUUCUUCUUUAAAGCAAAACUUCAUUCAAACUGAGAUAACCACGUGCUCUCCAUAAGCACUCCGGAAUUAUUUGCUCAUUAUCUGCAUCGCCUUCUGUCUCAACUUGAGGCUUGGAAUGAGCUUUGGCACCAGGAGGCUGCUUCUUCUUCAUCCCACUCACAAUGUCAUCGAUUCUGAGAAGUAGGCAAGCAGCUUCUAUGGCCGUUUUAAAACUCUGGCCCUUCACGUUGUAGGCAUCCCAUAUCUGACAUCAUAAAUCCUCAAAAUGAACAGCCUUACCAACAAAAUAAAUUUAUUGGGAAAUUUUUUAAUAACCACGACAACAGCACUUCCCCUCACAUGAGUGCUGUCGAAAUAUAUUGGGAGAAGCUCUAAACUAGAACUACUACUGAAGCAAAUCGACAAUAUAAACCAGAAGAUUGACACUUAUGCCAUAUCAAUAAAGGGACAUAUAAUGGAUACAUUUGAGAACAAUACUACAUUAAAAGUCCUAUUUCAGAGCUUUCAGCAAAUAUAAAUCACCCAACAAAUGUGAAUAUUGAGAUAGCGAAGGAAAUAAAAGAGAGCAACAAUAGUAAGCCAAAAAGAUAUCCACCUAUCUUUUUCUCUUUCACAUCAGUUAUCACACCAGUGUUACCAUCAAUGCCAAUCCAUGAUUUUUCACCAUUUGCAUGCUAUGGAAAAAAAAUUGUGGUUAAGAUCUAAAUGAUGCAUCAUAUUCUGACCAAAAUAAUAAUGAUGCAUCAUAUUCUGUGAUAACCACAUCUGGUUUAAACUUCAAUAAUAAAAUGCAUGUAAGGUGAAACCACAACUAAUUCUUAAUCUAAAGUAUGUCAACGAGCAUGUGAAUUGAAGUGACAGCCUUGUUUGGUUCUCGCCUUUCUUAUAUUCGAGCGGCCAAUCAAGAAGAAUGAUUGGGUGAUUUAUAAGAAAAUGAAAGAAAAUGAAAGAAAAUGAAAGAAAUUGGCACCAUCCCUUCAGUUUUUUCUUAACAAAAAAUGAAAGAUAAAUUCAUAAAUAAACCAUCAAAACGGUAUAAAAUGUUUGUAAGACAUGUACAAUUACAAAAUUAUAAGUUCUCCUCAGAAACAGACUUCUCUAAGUAUCCAUACACAAACAACAAAAGCAAAAGCUUAAACAGUUAGCUUAUAGCAAAAUCAAUGUCCCCAUUUCUCUAAACCACAGCUGCUGCUGGUAGGUUCCCAUCUUCACUCAUUUCCCGCUUUCUUUUAAGCACACAAUGAUCAAGCACAAAACAGCAAACUUUUAAACAACUCAUAUUACACCACAUAUGGUUCUAAACAAAACUCAUCCAUAUCCAAUAUGCAAGCCCUAAACUUAGUAAACAAAGUUAUACAAAAAUAUGUCGAAUUAACAAGCAUUAUUCUCAAACAAAAAGUAUGAUAUGGUUGGGAGUUUACAAGUUCAAAUAUUUAUACAAUACUUGAUUUUGUCAAACUCUGUCUUGAGAUAUUUUAUCAAUCUAGAAGUUUCUUUCAUAUAUGAAAAACUACGAACGAUAACAAAGGAAAUUAUUUCUAUGUAAAUUAUUCUUCGAUUCCAUCAGACAACCAUGCAAAUCCUUUGCACAAUUGAGUGUAAUGUGAAGGGUCACUACCUCGUUGGAAGAUAAAGAGAAAAAAAUUAAGGAAUUUAGCAAGCCACCAACAGUUUGCUUAAGAUAUUUCAAAAUGGUUGCUUCCAUCAUGGAGUUUUAGCCACAAAUUCUUUUCAUGGCCACAUUUUCUACGUAAAAUAUAAUCAGCGAGUAUUUUUUGGUAAUGAUCCACAGAGAAGAAAUCACCAUACACAGGUUAAUUGUCUUACACUUUAGAUAUCAUCUUCAACAAACAAAAUAGAUACCAAUUAGACUUCUAAGAAGGUUAAAUGCAAUGCUCAUAAAGACUCAUACUAAGCCACCAAAUACCAUUCAAUAACUGCUACAAAAACCAUAAUAAAACCAUACUAAAACUAAAAAUACAACUGCACUAAAAUGCCAACACAACAUCACUACAUUAGCAAUACACUAGCAAAAAAACACAAUACGACAGCAAUAGCAACAGCAACAGCAACACAACAGCAGUGCAAGCAUCAGUCCACAAAGAACAAACCCAUUCACUGUUUGAAACAAGGAAUCAUCAUACUCAGAUCAUUUCAGACAAACCCCUAAAACAAUUUCAAUGAAACCCCUAAACCAAUUUCAGAGAAACCCCUAAACCUUCAACCAAUUUCGAACAAACCCCUAAACUAAUUUCAGCGAAACCCCUAAACCUUCAACCAAUUUCGAACAAACCCCUCAGCCAAUUUCAGAGAAAUGCAUAAACCCUAAAACAACUUGAGAGAAACCCUUAAACUGUAAGAAAAUGCCGAUGAACAGUACCUGUCGCUGGGAGAGGAAGAGAGAAGAGACAGUCGGAGCUGAGUGAGGAGAGACUGAGAGCUGAAGGACCACAGAUUCGGAGCAAAGCCACCGGAGAGUGAAGAGAAACAGAGGGCAGCGAAGAGACAGAGGCGAGAGAGAACUUCAGCAAAACAGAGACAAUAAAAUUUCAGCAAAAGUGAUAUAUGUGCAAUAAGGGGACAAUAAAAUUCUAUUUAUAGGUCAUAGUUCCAAAAUUUUUAAAAAAGGGUGGUAUUUUCAAUUACAAUUAUAAAAAUGGUGGCAUUUUGGGCUAUUUCCCAAUUUUCUUUACACAGUUGCAUAUUUGUGGAUGUUUUGUUCCAACCCCGAGCGGGCAAUAAGGUGGCGCAUUCUUUGGCCCAAGCAGGUAUGCGGCUUCAACAUCAGAUGUUUUGGGAGGAUAUGCCACUUUUUGGGAUUCUUCCAUUGCUAGACAGAGAUAUUAGUUUUGUUUUGUUCAGGGAAUGCGCAGGUAUUUCAAGAGUAAUAUGUUACUUGGGAGAAUGUUGUAGAGAUCAUUCAAUUUAGUUACUCUUAAGAGCUAUCUCUGGAGAAAGUAAGAAAAAGGUAGGUUGGUUUUAUUAAAUGAAGCUCUAUUUAUUUACAUUUUUUCUUACAAAAUAAAAUUAAAAUCAAAUCAAAUAAAUGCUACAGUUGUCCAAGAAGGGUCUGCAUGGGGAUUCAUGCGUCUUUCUUGAAAAUUUAGGUUUGUCUUGCAAUACUUUGGAGAAGUGUGGACGUACUUAGGAAGUAUUUGUAUUUUAAGAGCUUUUUGAUCAUUUGCCCAAAAUUUGGAAGACUUUCAAAUUUUGCAAUAGAUAAAUAAAAAUAUUUUAUGUAAAACCCAAAUCUCUAAUAGUGAUUCAACUCUGUCUAUAACUUGAAUACAAGUGAUAGUCUAAAUUCCCUUCUUUAUUUUAGAACAUAAUUGAUGUUUAUGACUCAAAUAAAGUGAUGCAUCUUAAUGUGGCAUAACUAUUUUGGAUACAAACACCAUUGGAGGAGAGGGGUAUGUGCUCUUAACCACUUAAGCUACAAGCUCUUUACAUAAGUAUUUGACUAUGUAAAAUAAAGUUUACUGAGAAUGGUAACCAUGGGAAAGGGAUUCAAGAAAUCCAUCUAAGCUGGUGAGGUUCUUGCUCUUUAGAAAAUGGGAGUACCAAUGAGCAGAGAGUUUGGGUUGUCUUUUUAAAUCAGGGUCGUCCAAAUCGAUGUAGUAUAGGCCAAAGCUUGAUUCAUAGCCGUUCAAUAGCUCAAGGGAGUCCAUGAAGGACCAUAUAAAAUAGCCUUUGGCAUUUGAUCCAUUCCUUCCAAAAGUAAAGAUUUUCAUAGCAUCCGUCAGUGAUUAAGAACAAGUACUAGUUAGAUGUCAAACUAAGGUAUAAAACAAGAAAAACCACUUAAGAAAAAAGCAAAUAAAGAUGAUAUCAAAUAGUUAAAGACUUCAUAAGUGGUGAACGGUUAUAGCCCAGUGAAAAAAGACAUUGACUAAUGUGUGAGAAAUCAUUCAUCUCCGUGUAGUUUAGACUAUAGCUUGUAUAAAAAUAAAAUAAAAUAAAAUAAAGACUUCACAAGUGAAACAUAUCUUGCCAAUUCUCACUUUGCCUAUUUAAACAACAAUUUGGGUCUUGACCUAAUUAAUUUCAAUUUUGUCCAUGGAAUUAAUUAUUAGUUACAAAAUCAGUCAUUUCUCUGGCUUCAAUUGUCAUUUCUUGUUAAAGCAAAGUGGUCUUUUCAUACCGAGGAUGGCAAUUAAAUUUCCCUAGUAUGAACACUUUCUUGGAGAGAAUAAGAUAAAUCAUAUGACUCUUGGGUUACAUUAUAACUGGAAGAAAAUAGGUAUACCUUACAGCUGCAAGCAAACUUUGGAUAUGUCCACGCAAAUAUUUUACCCUCGACCUAUCCUCCAAUGAUGAAUUGCGUGCAGUUUGUUGACCUAAAAUAUAUAGGAUGCCAAUACUUUUCCAUUUAGAUAAUGAGAUAGAUGAAAAGAAUAUAAACAUGAAAAGCUAUAAUGCCACUACUUCAUUAUAAUAGCCAAAAUUAAGUCUUUGUACUCUAUAAUUUUCAAUUAGGUUAUAACAUUAUCAUCUAAAUAUAUGACUUUAUUACAAAAAGAAGAGCGAAACUAAAAGUACCACUAAACUAAAUUGCAAAUUGUUCCAACACUGUAUAUUCAAAUACAUGCAUUAUAGCACUACUUCGAUUAAAUUUCAGCAUUUAGAUAGAGAGAGGGAUAUACCAUUUUCAUGGAUAUAUAUAGGGGGAUUGCCAUAAUUUUGCUUCAUAUAUUCCAACAGUCUUUGCAGGCCCCAGGGAGCUAUUGGAUACUACAUCAAACAAAUGCAUUAGUAAUGCUUGAAAUUAACUCCAUAAAUGGUUAAAUGACACUAACUUAACCCCACAUCGAAAAUUUGAAAAAAUAAAUACAAUAUAUAAUGAAUGAUACCACUCCUAAUAACACCGAGGUUUUUUGAUAAAACAACACACCUAUUGGAAUUUGUAAGUGGUUAAGUUGUGAACAAUAUCAGUGUUGCUAGUAGUGGGUCGAUAACCCAUCUCUCUAAAGUUAACAAGUUGUUAUGUUCAAAGUUUUACCUCGAAUGAUGAUUCACCAUGUUUCGGAACUGCACAGAUAAACUUUGUAAGUUAAAUCAAUAAUUAUAUCAUGUCUUAACCAAGAUAAAACUUGCCCUAUAGUGACCAAUGUGUACACUAAAGCAGUACAAAAAAGAUGUAAUCGAUGAAUCAUGUAAUAAACACUUUUAAUUUUGUGAAUAUUUACUUAAUCUUGGGGUAAACCUUGAAGCUAAUAAUUCAAAACUUCAGGUUUUUUUUUUCUUUUUUAAACAUUCGACAGAUAUUUACCAAUAUAUUUUCACAAAGGCUCGGCUAAUACAUCCACAAAGUUAUGCUACGUACCAUAAUGGGAUUAGCCACAACUAGACUGUUAAAGAUUGGCUCACCAUAGAUGCAUGAGGAAGAGGAACCGUACAAUCCCGACGACUGGUCGUCACGUGAAUAGUGUCACGCGCUGUUUUUGGCAUUUUGGCAUGUUUUGAUGUGGUUUCCUAUUAUUUUGGGGUUUUCUAGUACAAUUUAAUAGGGUUUUAAUUUCCUAUUCCUAGUAAACUUGUAACCCAAGUUCUAUGAGUUAUAAAUAGAACUUUUAGGGCUAGGUUAAUUUAAGAGAGGAGAAUUCAAGAGUGAAUUUUGAAAAGAGAAACACAAGAUUGAAUUUUCAAGGGUGAAUUCUUGAGUGUUUAUAAGGUCAUCAAAGGGUUUGAGCAAGGGUGUGAGAGAAAUUAAGACCUAGAGUUUGAGGUGAUAGAAAGCUAAGGGGAUUCUUGUUGUAACCAAAGUUGUUCCUAUUCUUCUAGUGAAAUUUCUAGAGGGGGUCACCAAAGAGAAUGUAGGUACAAAGCUGAACCUCUAUACAUCUUUGUAUUCUUGUGUGUUUGCUUACUCUCUUUGUGGUGUGUGUGUUUUUUAUUCUCAAAGAGUUUGUGUGUGUGUUAUCGCAUAGUCCAUCAAUGACAAGGUCUUGGAGUGUUUCCGCACAAUAUCGACGUUGAACUACAUACGUGUAGCAAAAACUUGAUUAAAUUUUUAGGGCUCAAUUUAGUUUGAUAUAUAAAUAUACGUAUAGCAAAAACUUACAUAUCGUCUUCAUUGCCGAGUCAGCAAUAUAGUCUCUGUUUGUACUCUCUAAGCUGACGGAGUUGUCCUCGGCGUAUACGGCGGUAUAAUAAUUAAAUCCUAUGAAGUCAAACGAACCCUUGACACUUUGAGACUCAAGCCUAGUGAAGAAAGGAAUUCUAGAGCCUGCAUUUUUUUUCAUUACAUCAGGGUAAUCUCCAAACACCAAGGGAUUCAAAUACCUGCAACACAAAAUAGACACAAUGGAAUUACAAUGCGUUUGCAGUUAAGACAAGUAAAUAAUAAUUGACAUAUAUAUCGGUUUCACAUAGUAGCUUGAUCGUCCAAACCAUCUAUUUUUUAUGUUUCGUUGAAGGAUAACCCUGUACUAAUAAUCCACCAAAUUGGGCAGGAAAAUGACUACAAAAGAGAGAACAGAGAGGUUGCAAUUUUAUGCCAAUUUCAAACUUACCAACCAAAAUAGAAGUCGAAGCCUCUUUGGGUUGCUAGUUCAUCUUCAAUGGUUUUUGUUCGAGGAAAAAACCAAAAGGCAAAAAGGUUGAUUCCUAUAAACCCACGUUGUUUAUCCUGCAUUCCAAAAGCAUUGAUGUUACAUGGAAUAAUCUUUGUUGAAUUAGGUUGGGUUUCUUUUGACUUCUUUAUCAUAGUUUAUAACGGUCUGUAUUGUAUGUUUGAGCUUAUAAUUGUUUAUGCAUUUCCACAUAGUAUAUGUACAUUAGAAGGAGAGGCAUCAAAUUAAUAUUGCAGAGUUUUCUCUUUUUCUACUUCCCAUUUGCUCUCAAUUUCUUAUUUCCUCAACCUAUCUCUAACUAUUUUCUUUGUUAAAAUGCUUUAUGUUCUCAAAUUAAAACUCGAAGACCUAAGUAACAAGUGAAAAUUAGCAGCUGUGACACUUACUAAUCUGUAUUAUAUCUUGAUUCAAGGACGAAAGGACACCAUUGCAAGAACAACAGUGCUUGAAGCAUUUAACAUGAAUUUGUUUUCUCUUCCAAUUACCUGGUAGUUUUUCUUGUACAAUCUAGCAGCCGACGCAUGAGAUAACAAGAUAUUAUGCGUUGCCAAGUAUGGUUCUGUUGAGGAGUUACCCCUAGAGCAGUUGAGACCAAAUGGAAUUGAACAUCGUUGUGGUGGAAGAAAUCCAGCAUCAUAACCCCCAAGUACAAAAACAUUAGGUUCAUUCAUAGUAGUCCAAUGCAAAACUCUAUCCCCGAAAUUUUUGAAGCACACAUCUGCAUACGCAGUGAAGUCUUUU
rnacentral:lncRNA from 1 species